ACAGAAAAAAGUUGUCUUUUCACGGGUUUCAAAGUUCCUGUAUUGGUAACAAAAUUAUCACACAUUACAAUGAUCAAUUCUGGACAGUACAUGAUAACACAGCCUGCACAUAAUUGAUCACGACACACACGUAACUUAAUGAGAGAAAGUGAAAUCGACAAAUGACAAGAACCUGCCUACCCCAAAAAUGACACAACAUGAGCAAUAUGACGCGAAUGAGAAAUACUUUAAUUUUCUAAGCAUUUGAAGGUUCUAUUACAAACAUUUAGAUGAAUAUUCCAAUGACAAGACUAGCGCAAUAGCCAUUAAAGCAGAAGCUCUAAUUUGAUGGCUCUGAUUCUGCUGCGGAUGGAAGCUGUUGGGGAGAUUUUCAUGAGAAAGCGUCAUGCGCAUCGUCAAAUUGGUAAACAUAAACAACACUUACGAAACUCUGGCUCAGUCAAGCAUGGCAUGCCUAAGUCUGUAAACCAAUUUACAGGAGAUUCUCAAGAAGAUAUCUAAGAGUGCUUGUUUUGGCUAAGUAGAUGAUAUGGUCAUAUAGUUUCAUUCUCUCACCAGUAGUGAGAGAGAGAGAGAAAAAAAUUAACACAUUAUUAUGAAAAAAGAGCUGGGAAUAAGUUAAUAAUUCAGUGCAGAAAAAGAUCGAGCAAAAAUUCAAUAAAAAAUUUAUGGAAUCGAACCUUAAUAUGUGAAGUGUAAUGCCCGCUUGCCAUGCUUCCAUAGUGAUUGAUCAGGGCAUACAGCUGAUAAAUUUGACACUGGGGGCUUUUCUUGUUGGCGACAUAAUUUGUCAAAUCCAAGUCAUGAAUGGGGAAAUUGAUGAAGGUUUCCAACUUGUGCUUUGUAGAACGGCUAAAGGAGAACCUCUUAAGAUGAAUAACCAAAACCUCCGGAAGCCUCCACAGGUCCAACUUCUUGCUGGCUUGCCUUUGCUCCUUGCAUCUCGGACAGUACCUUAGGUUAAUUGCAUCAAUAAAGUGGCUUAAAUAUCAAAAGAAAGCAUGGGUUAUAAUGAUAAGAUGGAAAACCGAAAUAUUAUUCACCGAAAAAUAGAACGUUACAUACACACAUCCAAUCAACUGGUAAUUUCAGAGGGGAAAAAUGGAAUAAAAGCAGAUGGUUGUACUUGGACUAUUCAGAAAUUUCAUCUAUAUUUUGUUUAGUGCAACUUGUUUAACAUUUCAUUAACAAAAAAAUUGCAUGCAUACCCCUCCAAAUAUACGUUAGUUGGAAACUAGAUAUUGAACUUUUAAGUUUUUUGGUUUUGAACCUCUCAACUGGCAUACUAAUAUACUCUUUAACUUGGGAAAAUUCCAUCAGAGCUCAAUGGUUAUUCUUCUAACAGAUUUCACUUAAUGGAAACUUUUAUUCUUAACAGAACAAUUUGUAGCUUUCCCUUGGAAGCCAUAGAAUUCUAACUGAACCGCAUAUGACUAUUCUCAAAUCAAAUGACAUUUCAUUUAGUGUCCCAGAUCAUAAAAGUUCAGAGACCUAUAUCAAACUACCAACAUUUGAAGGGUUAGACCUGCAAGAUUUUAUGUUUUCAUUAAAAGAUUAAGCAUCAUCAAGCAAUGACAGAUAGAGCCCUCUUUGAAAGGGAUUUAAACAGUCUUAUUGCAAAUCAAAGAGGACUUUGCUCCUUUUCUUGAGUCUACUGAUUCAAAGGGAUAAAGCGUCUAUACUCUGUAGUAGAUAUAACAACUAACCACAUGUCUUCAGGUACUAGAGGCUCUUCCCUCAAGAAAGCAUCGAGGCACGCAUAUAGGGAGAGGGGUUCACCACGUGUUCUUUUGGGUGCAGGUGCGUACUUGAAAAGUUCCGGAAUGUUCUCCAGAUGAUGGAUAUCAAACCUUUUCAAAUCCUUCUUGGACCAAUUUAUAAAGACAAUAAUUGGCGAAGCUAAUGAUGCCAGAUUUAUAGGAUUCUCCUCUUCCGACAAAUCAAUGCAUUCAUCAUUUUCAUCGAGCAAUUGAAGAUGCAUCACAGGGGACGUGGUUGUUUCAGAAUCACUAUCUGUGUCUCUAGAGUCGUUUUCUUCAUUGCUGCUUGAAUUCCGAAGGGUCAAAGAUUGAUGCCCUUCAUGUUGUACCAAGGGAGCCAGCAUGGUGCGGACCAUCAUGUGGAUAUCGGUGCCUGUGACAGUUUGAUCGCAUGUGAUUGGUGUGAUGAGAGGCGUGCCAUAUGGUUUCCACACCGUAGAACUGCUAUUGUUCCCGGGCUCCCUGCAACGAAUGAAGUUGAACCAUCUGAUGCAAGAGGAAAACGACAAACAAAAUAUCCAUGGAACAGUAAAUGGUAAGAAAAUUAUAUAAAAGACUUGGUAGAAGAAGAACCCCUUCCCCCAAGUAUUGUAAUUUCUAACUUUGCCCUCUUUAUGUGUGGAAACUUAUGAAUUACCUCCUUGAACUACAAAAAAUUUAGUCACUCUUCGUCAGUGUUCAGUUCAGUGAAAUCUGUUGCUAUGCUCAUACGUAAAUAGGGUGAAAUAUAGGUUCUAAGAUUUCAGGGAAGAUAUUGUAGUGAUAGGGGUUGCCCGCAUUUAGCCUAAUAAGAUAAAGGAAGCCUCGAGUAUAAAAUAAAAAUCUACGCCCUUUGUUUGGAACUAUUGCCUUUUUCCGUAAACACAGACUCUAUGAGAUAGUGUGCAUGGGCGGAUGCCGGAAUUUUUGCAGCCCAUACAUCUGCGUUAGGCAACAAAAAACAAAAACUUAGUAGGUACUUUUUUUGCUUCUUUGUUCUCUUAAAGUCCAUCCAUCAACAUAUCCAAUCAAAUAGAAUUAGCAUUAUAUAUAUAUAUAUAUAUAUAUAUAUAUAUAUAUAUAUAUAUAUAUCAGUGACAAUAGCUAACCGAGGCCCAAGUAUUCAGGAGAACUUACAUUUCCUCACGACGGUGCACAAACUGAAUGUAAGUUGAAUCCAGGCCUAAGGUUUGGACCCUAUAGGCUACAAUAUGAUCAUCAUCCUUAAUGGUAGAUAGCAGCACUGAUGGAUCCUCCAGAAAGUGAUGAAUAAAAUGACCACGAAUCUGAAAAAUAUUUCUCUUAGUGAGCCAUAUGUUAAGAUUAUAACAUAUAUGUAAAUAUAUACCAACACAAAAUUAUCCAUUUACAUUUUACAUUAGUUGUAGAUUCUUCCAAAAUUUGAAUUAGCAUAUAUGCAUGCCAAAAACUCAAUUUCUUACAUAUAUACGUCGUACUCCCAAAACAUCCCUCUAUUAAAAAUUCCCUGAUAAAAGUGUACUUUCAAGGGGCAUAACGAAAUUAGAUGACUCCCGAACACUUACGGUAAUAUGAAAUUAAAAUUACAGGGUUACACAUGUAAAUAGGUGAUUUUACAGGAUACAUAUAAACAGCAUGGUGUAAGUUAUAAGUUAUAAUGUACCUCUGCAAGUAGAAUUUUCUCCCCAUUUUUAAUUGAACAAGCGGAGCUUAAAGCUUGGAUCAAAUCCCUGCACCGGCCUUGCUUGGGCACACUUACGGUGCAAGGGGUAGGCAAUGUGCUUCCAUCAAUGUUAAAGACCAUAACAGUUACAGUUCGCGACGAGGUUGAUUGUAGAGGUAGCGAAAGGUACAUGAACGGAUCAAAGGUCACCGAAACUUUUCCGCAUACAGGGCAAACCAAUGUUGAUUUGUAUUGACCCUGUAAAAUUUGUAUUUACACAGGCAUAAAGUAACUAAGCAUUUUCGCAAAUACGGGCAAUGCACAAUUCAGGAGUCACCGAUAUAGUAUUUACAGACUUUUGGAAAUAUAGGAAAUAACAUAAUAAGAAAUAUGCAAACAAAUCAUUUAGCAUUAGAUAAAAAGGAUUCCCAUCAAAAUCAGGCCCAGUAAAAGUAGCCACAGAGCUUGCACCUAAUGAAGUCAUUUAUUUUUUUCCCAGAACAAUCAACUGAUGCACCACAGAAUGAAGAAUAAUUUCUCCUAUUUUAAUAAUAUUCACUAAAGAACAAAUUACCAAAGCCCACUGUGGCACCAUAAUGACCCAUACUACGUGCCGAAUAUGGUUACCUUACCGAGAAAAGGAAAGGAAAAAAAAGGAAGGUGACAGGCCAAACCAAAGCGAGCACCACAGUUUUGAGAACUGACCUGGCAUACAUCAACAAUGAUUGAAUCAUUUCGAGCAAUGUGAUUCGCCCAAUACUCAUCUGCAACUUCCUCAUCGGACCGUCCAUCGGCAUCAUUAGUUCUUAUGUAGGGCUUGUGCUUAACACGAUUCAGAUCUUCAUGAAGUCCAUCCAAGAGGAAUGCUAAGAGCUCCUAAAAUGUAUAGGAAAAAAAAAAUACAGAUCAACAUUUAGCAAAUUAUCAAAAAUAGUUAAAUGCUAGAAUAUGAAAUUGGGGAUACUCGACCUGGGAAUCAUGCUGACUAUAGCCACUGAAUUGAGGUGCAAAACGAGCGAGCUUUGAUUUGAAUGGCCGAGGAGAAAUGGGAGUGCGCCCAGGAGCCCACAGCUUCCUUAGUAGCUCCCCAAAAGCUAAAGCAAGCUCACCCUACAUGACUACCAACAAAGGUUAGUGUACUUUAAAAAAUGCACAUAAUGUAAACUUGUACUUUUUAUCUACAAAGAAUCCAGAGAAUGUAAACAUAAGUAAAUGCUACAUUAUGAAUGCCCAAAAAUAUGCUGCAAGCUAAGUCUUAAAUAGUAUUUACAUUCAGUAUGGAUGAAUAAAAAUAUGGGUGUAUAAUGAUAGAAAAGCCACUAAAUCUUUACUUUAUUGACUAGAACUUAGUCAUCAGCAUAACCGAGUGUUUAACUUGUAUGGAAAAAAUUCAAUAACAGAAGGCCCAUUUAAACGAUUAUACCUGAAAUAGAAUUAUGCAAAAUAAAACCAUAAUGCUGGGGUCCAAAAUUGCUCAUCAAGUGCGAGAUAAACUGUUGAUCAUAAGUAGAAAAUUCAAAGACUACAGAACAUUUUAGCGCUAAUUAUAUGUGCAUUUAGACAUGGUUAAGCAGUUUAUUUUAGUUCUACAUUUAAAGUAGUGUUUUCCAACUGUCUGAUUGUUUCCAAUAGAUGAACAGCUUAAACACUUGAAUCUCACAGAAAAAGCAUAACAAGGAAUACAAAAUGUAAAUUGAAAAAUGGGUUCACGAGCUUCUCAAUAAGCAAGCAAAGAGAUACUUACAACCAUGCCCAACGGAUUCUGCCAAUUAAUUUCUUGGCGAUAAUCUUCACGAAAGUACCUAGCAAACUCUGGUGUAUGUACCAGACAUUGUACUGCACUGUUCAUAAAACAGGUAUUCCCAAGAUUUAGCAGUCCUGUAAGACCCACAGGAGUUCCUCUAGUAGUAAUGCUAUGUGUUAUAUGCAAAUUAUUAUCCAAUUCACUGCUUGGGGAAGUCAAAUACUGGCUUUGCGAGAACUCGGAACUGCAGCUUCUUGAAGCACAGUUGUUUGUCGAGAAAUUCUCAGCAAUGGACAAGCUCGAUCUAGAAGGUUCCACAAUUAUAGAAAGGGAAUCUUUUUCGUUACAUCCAUUUUCUUGUAUUGAGCUCAUGCACCCUCCAUCUAAACUGCCAUUUCCAUCGCUUAGGACCUCUACCAAAAUCUACCAACAAAAGAACAACGGAAACAAAAAGAGUAAAAAAAAAAAGGUACAACCAGUGAUAACAAUCAACAACUGAUGAACUUGUCCCAGAAUAGCAUAGAAUUCAAGAAAAGAUAUCCAAGAUAGGCAUAAGUCAUUGUUCGGCCUGGCUUCUAGAAAAGCUUGGAUACUCCAUAAAACAUAAGCUUUAACUGAUUAGGUAGUGAGCCAAUGACAGUUCUGAGGCAGACUAAGGGGUCUAACUAUUUUGAUAUUCCAUUCCAUUGUCGAUAUCGAAUACAAAUAUCUACUUCAGCAAAUGAAAAAUCUAUUGCUUUCAUUGCACCGAGAGACUAAAAUGAGCUUUUGGGCCCCAUAGAGAAAUAUUUUUGUACAUCACUGCAAGAAUAGCAUCCGAAAAAGGUGAUGAUUUUGUAGAAGAAAAGAAAAACAAACAUAGUUAUUGCAUUUUAUUUUACAACUUAAACCCACUUUUUUGUUUUUGCAACUUAGAAUGCUGCUAGCUGAAAUCAAAGAAGCAUAUAUUCAUCACAAGGAGUGGUUGGCGCAUUUCAAUACAUAAAGGAAGAUAUCACACAUCAAAACUGAAAAAACCAAAAUAAUUGGUCAAAGUUGCAUAAUCUAAAAAGCACACAGAAUUUUUUUUCUGAAAAUGCCCAAUAAAAGAAACUAUAUGCAUGAAUACUAGUGCUAGUUGGUCCAACUCUCAAGCCAAAGCAGAAAUUAGACACUACUCAAAAUACUGUAAACCGUAAACAUAACUGAAAACACAAAACAAAAACUAAGAACACACAUGUUGAUCCAUCUGAAUAUUGGCAUCAUCAAGGGUUUGCUCCAUGUUGUCCAUCAAGGCAUGUUUCUGCUGACCAUAGUAGUCCCAUAUACAUAUCUGCAUAUGUAUAUAAAAUGAAAGUUGGUAGCCUAACAACAGAGUCUAAAGAUUGAGAAAAUGAAUAAUGUCCUUACUUGAUCCAAGAUCAAAUCAAAAACCUCGCAAGCCUUUUUGUGAAGCUCACUAACUGUUUCCUAUCCAACAGAAGCAAGCUCCAAAUUAGUCUAUUUUGUCUAAAUUGGCAUUUUAACAAAGUAAGGAAUAUAAAUCUAGUUACCAAUAAAAUUCCAGUAAAUCUUAAGAGAACCACAAAUUUCAGAACAAAACAGCUUGUCAUAGUUCUCAGAGAAGCAUGCAUGGUCUCUAACGCCAAAAGUACUAACCAUUACGUGGCAUAUGUGCUUCUAGGAGUAUGCAAAAUUACCCCUUCAAAGUUGGCAUUUGUGUGUGUGCCACUGAAAACCACACUUUAACCUCUGCAUACUUGUGGGGAUCUAUAUGUAAAAAUGGUUUCUGCAUAAAUGCUCUAGGCAAAAGUAUGGAUGCAAAAAAAUUACAUGGGCACACAGGCGGUACACAGGCCUAUACCAACUUUGCAAGGGUAUUUGCAAAAUGUCGGGUAUUUUCCGAAAAUUUUACACAAUACCUUCUUGCUUAUCCUAACAACAGCACGCUCUCCUUUUGGCAUCAAAAGCAACUGAAGCCGCAGAGGAUAGACUUCUAUAGCUAAAUCAGUCUGAGAUAGACCUGUGUUGAUAGCUUUUCUUGGUAAUGUUGGUCCUCCACCAUACCUGCAAAGGGCAGUUAACUUUUAGGCUAAACAAGGCAACACGUCUUAAAGAAUCUCACAGUUCUAAUCUGGAAGGAUGAUCAUCAUCAGCAUUCAAUCCUUUCAUAUCAGGAAGUACAGAUAUGAAUCAUUGGAUUCGAUGUUUGAAGGUUAAAUCACAUUAAAUGUCCUCAACCUCUCAUCUAUGUUUCAGUUUAAUCACCAACCACUCAAGUGCUAGAAUCCAAUCACUAACUUUUACAAUUUUUUUUUGUGAUUUUACCCUCCCGGUUUAAGUUGUUCCGUCAAAUUGAACAUAAGUACUCAUGUAAUCAUAAUCAAAGUGCCAUGAAAGCAACACUUUAAUUUCUCAUAUUGUGAAUAUCGGGGCAUUUCCAUCCAAUUUAAUCUAAAUGAAAAGGAAAAGAGCGUAACUAAUUGGAAAGGUUAGGGACCCGAUUGAAAUAACCAAAAGAUAUAGCAACCAAAUGAAAACAUCCCAAAAAGGGAGAGGGAACCCGAAUAUAAUUUAUUAAUAACCAAUAUGUCAUGUUGUUCGAUCCUUUCUUGUAAUCAUCACAACUUACCAACCAUACAACUUUUCCCAAACUUGCUGUGGUAGCAAUAUAUAGUCACGGCCUUCAACUAAAGUUUCAUGAAGUUCAAUUUCAACAUUAGAGACCUCAGACACCACAUCAUCUAUUAAAUCUGAAUUAUCAAUAGCAGCUGGUCUUCUCGAAGUGCUUGAAACUGAUUCAUGAUGAUAAGAGCCAUAUGAAGACAAUCCAUUAUUUGCUGUACUAACUGCUUCUUGAGUUACAUAAUCAACCCAAUGCUGCCACCAUCUGUGCAGAUAGCAAAUAAAAACUUAAGUUCCAAAUAACGGAAAAUACGAGUGAGAGUGCUUCAUCAACAGAGGUUAUAGAAUCUUUAUAAAGUUGCUCCAAAUGUAACAGACGGGCAAAAGAAAAAAAAUCCUAAAGAGAGCGCAAAAAAAAUAUAGUGCAACAUGCAGGCAAAAUUAUGUGAAACAGCUAUGUAUUACAUUCAAUAUGGGCAAAGCAUCUUAUAGAUGCCCUCAAAAGUUAGAAAUAAUUAGGAAGAAAUUUUAGAAAGCAACAAUUCCUUUCUUCCUGUAAUGAUAUCCGUCCAUUAAAUAAAUUUGAAAAACGAAAAUCCCUCUAAACAAGGGGCUCGAGAAGACCCUAAUAUUUCGCACAAUUUGAAGAAUGUAAAAUCUCCUUCUCUGCUUGUUUUGUAAUUGUCUUUUACCUUAAUUCAAAGGGUUUUCCGUAAAAAUUUUAUGAUUUUCUUCUUCUCUUUUUUGUUUCCCGGCUGCACAAUUUGGUCUUUUCAUAGUUAAUAGUAACUAACCACAUUCGUCCAGAUUGAAGAUCAUAUUGAGUCCAAAAGACAUUUUCUGUUCUAUCACAAAUCUCGAAUUGGCAUUUGUUUUUUUAUUGGGGAUAGCACACACACCAGGUGCGCGAUGUAAUUCCCCGUGAAAAUUUAGCUCCAAACCAAGGUUUUAAGUGCCCGUCGGCACGAGCCAUAUCCACCGUGCCGUACCGUGCCAACAAGAUACCGGCACGAUACAGACCCCGUACCGUUGGCACAGCUCAAAACCCUCUAUUCUUUAAAUUAGAAAGUAAUUUCUUCAAUAAAGUUCAAAAGAUGUGAUAAAAGGAUAUAAUAAAUAGUUUGAAUAUUUUGUUGCUAAAGAAAAUAAAUAUUUCAUGCUAUUAUGUGUCGGCACACAAGAAUUUUUUUGACCGGCACGUAUCGGCACGGCUCGGUACGCACCGUGCCGUACCGUGCCGGCAAGUUUCUGGCACGACCCCGUGCCACGGCAUUUAAAUCCUUGCUCCAAACAUCCACAUUCUUAAUCUGCAAAACCACCAAUUAUUCAGCAACGACACAAUGUAAUGCGAACCCUAGUUCGUUAUUUCCAUCUGCUGUUGAUCGCUCCAGAACCUAAGAGAUAGUUCUCUCAAGCAUAUCUGAAGCAAAUUUUAAGCAUCAAAAUGGAAAAUGGCCACCAAAUCGCAAACCUACAAUUAACUACAGAGGAGAACCAAUUGUUAUCAACCUAAAUCAUCUAAUUUCAUCAAAAGUCACAAAAAAUACAUAAAAUUUCUCAAACUAUCGCUGGAUCGAGACCAACACCGAUCUAAGAAUCACCAACUACGUUCCCGAAACGCGAGUACGAUGCAGGGCAUCGCCGUAAAAGGGGGCUACCUCUGCGCGAUGAGGAAGAAGUUGUCGCCCUCUUUGGAAUGGGCUUCUGCUGCGAUGGUGAUGUCCCUGAUGAGGAGCCGCUCCUCCUCAGGGCUCAGCUCCGGCGACACCGCCGCCACCUCCACCUCCAUCUCCGUCACAUCCGCCGCUCUCUCCCUUCUCUCCCUCUCCCUCUCUCUCUCUCUCUCUCUAGGGAGAGUUGAAAAUGAGGCGGUUUUGUGUUGGGUUUGUGCGUAUGAGGUUUGAUUCGGAGAGUAAGAGGAGAGAGGUAAGGUUACCGCCCCUGUUCUGGUCACUCGCGGCAAGAGAGGCAUAUUUAAGAAAAAAAAAUUAGGGUUUAUUUAACUUUUUUUAUAUUUGUUUCUAUAAAAGCCCUCAUGUUUUUAAUGUUUAGUAUGGUGUUCGGGCCUAUCUGAUGCUCACAAAUAAAAUGGAGUUGGAGUAAAAAUAUAAAAGGAUAUGCUUAUGCGUUCUUCGAUGGAACCGUAGAAAAUAGAUCAUAACCGACUUAUUAUUAAGUUUGUGCGAAACGCAAUAUUACGUACGAAAAUAAAUAUGAUAUUUUUUUAUUGUACUUUCUCGUCGUACGUAAUGCAAUAUUUUCGUAAUUCGAAACGAAGCCUAAAUACACCCCCACUGGUAGGACCAGUUAGAAAGAUAUAAUUAAUUAUAGGUAAAAUACUUAACUCUCGUUAGUGAAUGAGAUAAUUUAACCUUUUUACCUCUCUUAUACUUAUUUGAGAUGGUGGAAAGAAAGAAGAUGACCCGUGGAGAUUUUUGGAAAGAUGUUUCUGCAUCGUUUUGCCGGUUGGGACUUUUUGAGGGAUAUAUCUAUGAUGGCAAAAAUAUCGUUUUACUUAUCUUUUAUUUAAAAAUAAACAAUGCUCUAGUGGUAAUAAACCAGAAAAAUAAAUAUGAAUAUUACUGGACUUUUGUAAAAAUAAAUAUAAAAAAUUGAACUUUGUAGGAAUAUAAUUGUUAGUCGAUAUGUUUACAGGGAGCUGUAUGAAAUUAAUCCUUUUUUAUUAAUAGGCUUUAAAAAAUAUGAAUAAUUACCUCAAAACUUCUCAACUAUUUUAUAUACUCCUUUUUUUUUUUGUUUCAAAUAUUUUCUUAGUAAUGCUGAGGCCUGAGGGAUGCAAACAGAAUGGAUCAUGGGGUAGGAGGGAUUUCUUAUCUCCCACUCCAUUUUUUGUAGAUGGUGGUGGAUUCGGGGAAGUUUAAUUUAAUCGUAUAUUCAACCCCCACUAAUCGUUUCAUUUGGGAUAGAUCGUGGCGGGAGCUGGAUCGGGGUGGAUCAAAAAGAGAAAAGGGUAUCCCACUUUCUACUCUAUUUACUUGGCGGAUCGGGCCGGAUAGAUCGUGGCAGGAGCUAGAUCGGGGUGGAUCAAAGAGAGAAAAGGGCAUCCCACUUUCUACUCCAUUUACUUGGCGGAUCGGGCCGGAUUAUAGUUUUCUAUAUUUUUGAUUCCACUUACCGCCCCAUUCAGGAUGAAUCAGAUGGAGCUUCACCAAACCAGGUCCAUUUGCAUUUCUAGCAACAUUGCAACUUUUGUUCUAUACUUAAACACUUUAAUCACCAAAUUUUUCUAUAUGUUGCCAUUUAUCUUUUAGUUUUUUUAAAAACAACAUAUUUUCUUAUAAAACAAUCAAUUUUUACUCCAUUAAAAAUAGCGUAGAGAGGACAAAAAUAUGGUAGGCAUCUGUCCCCAAACAACUUGUUUGGGGACAGAGCCGAUGAGCGCUGCAUGGUGUACGUGCGUCUAUUGCAAUCACCCCCUUUCCACCGGCUUCUCUCUCUCUCUCUCUCUCUAAAAAAUUGGAGCCCACAUUUUUUUUUUUUGCCGUUUCCGAGGGUCGCGACGACUCCGCCCCCAAACAAGUUGUUUGGAGGCAGAUGCCCACCAAAUUUUUGUUCGUAAAGAGGUCACUUGAGUAUGAGCAAUUAAAUUGAAGUGUAUAAAUAUGUUUAGAUAAAUAAUUUAUAGAACUUUUGUUUUCGUUUUUGGUUCAGUUUAUAAAAGCUAAUUAAACGAAAAUUAUCAAAAAUUAGAAACGAAAACAAGUCAAAUAUAGAUUGGCUUGUGAUCAAUCAAAUAUUGAUAUUUAUAUCUUCAUAUCGGAUGUAGAUAUUAGGAUAUUAGUUAGAUAUAAAAAUUAAAAUUCGUAUCCAGUAAAAAUGAAUUUGUAUACGGAUCAGAUAUAACUAAUACCGGUAUGAAUAGAAUAUUUAUUGAAUACUAAAGUCUAAUUAAAAAAAUUGCCAAUAUGUAUUUAAGCUCUUUAAAAUUUAUACAAUAUUAGAAAUAUAUAGAAAAGAAUUAUGAAUUAUAAAAAAAUGUCGUUGAAUAUGAAGUUAGUAAGAGCGUUAAAUGUUGAAAAUAUAUUAAAACUGAUUUUGGAUUCGGAUAAUCGGCAUCCAAAUUCAAAUUCAAAAAGGAAUAGUGAAUUCAAGUCUAAAAAAAAAUAAUUUGAGAUUCAAAUCUAAAUUGAAAUCCAAGCCGUAGUGAUAUCGCAAUCUAUAUCCGAUAAUUUUCAAAUUCAGAGUCCAAUUUUAUAGAGUUUUGUGUAAUAUUAAAUGCGAAGGAUGUUUAUACAAUAUUUGGAUCGUUUAUGGACUAUACUGCAAAAUAACCCUCACGCCUUUUUCCCUCGAGAGGGUGGAGGGUAUAACGAAAACAAAAACAAAAGUAAAAACAAAACCCUAGUUCUCUUUUCGGCUCCGCCGUGCCCUAAUCUCCUCCGACCAUGGCGAAUCGUAAGCAUAAUUUUCCCAUCUUCCAAUCUCGAUUUUUGUUCAAUAAAUUCGUGAACGGAUCGAUCUAUCAUAUAGAUCUCAGAGGAUUUGCUUCUUCUCCCUCUUUUUUUUUUUUUUUUUUUUUCUUUUUAAUAAUUUUUGGUUUGUGGUGCGCAGCAAUGGCGCGAUCUUUUCUUCAGGCCGUGGCUUCGGAGGAAGUGGCGUCGCCUCUGCGAGUGGUUCAGAUGGAAGGGCUUGUAAUCCCCUCAAAACCCUUUUUUUUUUAAUUUUUUUCCCUAAUUUAUUCUUAUUUUUCUGUUUUUUAAUUUGAAAAAGAUCGGACUUUGUGAGCAUGCAUGAAUAAUUCAAGUAAUUUUAUGUGUACUUUUGUUGGAGGAGCGUGGGGAAGUGCAACAAUUUAAUUUAAUGUCAUAGUUACGUAUGUGUGUAUAUGUUGAUCUUGUUAUUCAUCUAGGAUAUUGCUAUUUGGAGUAGCAAUAUAUCGGAAAUCACUCAAUAGCUUCUCCCUGCAGCGGAUUCAGAAGCUUCGAAUUGGAUCUUCUGCUUUUACGCCUUGAAAUCUCAUUUAUUCUUUUCGGACACAAUCAAGUCUCUGGGCUUUUUUGUUUGCUAAACAUUCUGCUAGCUGGUUUUCAGAACAGAUUUUCCACUCUGAGAAGUAGUAGACAUGUGUGAUGUGUUUGGCAAGCUAAAAUCCGGGGACUUCUCGGGUGGCAGGAAACUGAAAUUAGUGGAAACUCUAAUUUGAAGCUUUGUGGUGUUUCUUUGAGGCAUCGUUGGGUGAUGUCCGACUGAGAAGGGAUCGUUCGUGGUAGUAUGUUAUUAGGGACUACCUGCUUGCACAUUAUCAAAAUUUGGAUGAUAGUCCGUGCGACUAUUCUUCAUUCGUAAUUCACCAAAGAAAAUGCCUAACUUCAUGAUUUGGUCAGCUUUGCAUAGAAACUAAAUAGCUUGUUUUGUCAUCACCCUUGAAAAGUUUUGAUCCUUUAUGAUUGAUGCUAAGGUGAAAUUUGAAACGAUAGAUGAUGCUCUCAGAGGUCCCAUUCAUGUCUCUCUUAAUUUCUUUCCUUACUAUUGCUUAAUAGUUAGGAAAGCUUUUAAGAUACCUUCUUGGUUAACAUUUUUCAUGUUAUUUUUCAUUCUUGGUGCAAUGCAGACAGUUUUAAAGAUUAUUAAGCACUGCAAGGAGUUCUCCCCAUCUUUAGUUACCGGUCAACUUCUUGGCCUGGACGUUGGUAGCGUCCUUGAAGUCACCAACUGUUUUCCUUUCCCGGUAUGCAGCUUGGCUUUGUUCAAUCUCAUGAGAUCUUACGUUUUAACGUCCGUUGUUUUUUUUUUCCCCUCUUAUGUUCUCGCUUUUAUCAGUACUGGUAAUUCAUUGCAUUUAGGUCUCUUUGGUUAAUAGUUUACUUGACCGUUCUGUUACAGAUACGGGAAGAAGAUGAGGAGAUUGAGGCAGAUGGGGCAAAUUAUCAGCUUGAAAUGAUGAGAUGCUUAAGAGAGGUUAACGUAGAUAACAACACCGUUGGCUGGUAAGUUUGAACCCCAUAAUCAGCAUUUGCUGUUUAUCAUUUGGUCAAUGGUAAUUUCAUGUGCGAAUCAUUGUUGUUAUGUAUAUAAAAUGUUGAUUCAUAUUUCACAUGUAUUUUUUUUAUUGAAAUCUACCACUUAGCGGGAGUUAUAGUAGAGAGGUGAAAAAGAAAUUGUGUACACAAAACUUGCGUAUCGUAAUAUGUUUAGUUGGUUUAUAAUCUUCAAUCUUUGUCUAUUUGUACCUAAAUCAGUUAUGUUUCAACUUUGCUUACAGGUACCAGUCAACUUUGUUGGGAUCUUUCCAGACUGCUGAGCUGAUUGAAACAUUUAUGAAUUACCAGGUAAGAGGAGGAAACUAUAGUUUCCAUUUCUUCUAUUGUCAUAUAGUAAGAAGUUUUCUUGAUCGUUUCUAACUGUUUUUAUCUUCAGAAAAGUUUCUUUUCUCUUGUAUAUAUUUAUAUAUUAUUUAUAUUUACCUUAGAGGUAACGGACUAAUAAUUAUAUAGAUAGAUGCUUAGCUAUAUUUAUUUCUUGAACUUCUCAUAUUGAAACAUCAAUCUACGAAUUUUUUCUCGAGCUUUCCUUGACUAAAGAGGAUAUUCUAUAGCUAUUUGUUACUGCCUUUUCCUUUACUCUUUAAUUUCUUUAUUUAUUCCUAUUUUUCUGUUCAUUAGAUAUAGUUCAUUUCAUAUAUAGUUGGUAGUAGAGAGCUGAGUUUUUCUUUGGGUGCAUUGCUAAUAUAUUUCUAGUUAUCAGUACUGCUGUAGUGAUUUCCAACUACUUAUCGGGGCUUUGUUAUGUAGAGCAUCUCUAAUAUAUAUUAUAUGCAUCGUCAUAUAAUUUCUUUUUGUGUUUACUUGAUUUUUUUUAUUAACUUAUGGAAUAUUUUCUCCAGGAGAAUAUUCGGAGAUGUGUAUGCAUCAUAUAUGACCCAUCGAAGUCAAAUCAAGGAGUCUUAGCUCUCAAAGCUUUAAAGCUCUCUGAUUCAUUUAUGGAACUUUACCGUAGCAACAAUUUCACUGGAGAAAAGUAUGUGCAAUAUCUUGUGACAAUUUCAGUAAUUUGUGAUAAUGUACUUUUAAUAAAUAUCGUACCUAUUGUCUUUUUCUUUAGGUUGAGGGAGAAGAAAUUGGCGUGGGUUGAUAUCUUUGAAGAAAUUCCGGUACAUCUUUUCUUUCUUUUGCUUUUCUGUUUCCCUUGAGAUUACAUGUAUUUUCCUCUUGCUGAAAAGGGCAAUAACAUAUAGAUUUUAUCUUGCUACCUUCACAAGAAGGCACUUGUUUUGCUCCUGCUGGUGCUUCUGUGAUAGUGUUGUUGCAGGAGAGCUGUUCAAAGAAACACUUGUUACUUUUCAAAUUAAAUCUUUGUUAACAGCUUCCUACCAGAAGCAAAAGAUUCAAAUUAGAGCUUCUAAAUUUUGGAGCCUAGAAGCAUAUUUUAGCUUCCUUCCAUGGGAAAAGCUCCACAUUUUACUGCUUUUCGCAUUAGAGAAGCUGUUCCUGAAGCUAUGCUAAGCAAGCAGUCUAUAUGUACUUUUUGAGGGUGCACAAGUGUCUAUAAUAAUUCUCGUCUUUAAAUGUAUGCUUUUGUUUCUUUACUCUUAUUUCCUUUUUGUUCUUUCUUGAAUCAGAUUAAAGUUUCUAAUUCUGCACUUAUUAGUGCAUUCAUGACGGAGCUGGAACCUGAGUCACCUGUUUCACAGGUGUAAUACCUUUGUUCUUAUUCUUCUUCACGGGCAUAUAUUUUGACAAUUUUGUUAUAUGUUACUCCAAAUUUUACAUUUUGGUUAUUUUCAGUGUGAUUAUGACCGACUCAAUUUAUCAACUGCUCCAUACAUGGAAAGGAAUUUGGAGUUCCUGAUUGAAUGCAUGGAAGAUCUUUUGUCUGAGCAAAAUAAGGUAUUAUAUUAAUGGCAAACUUUGCCUUAGCUUCCAUGAUAUAAUCGAAUGAUGUAUUGUUAAACCGAAACUAUUUUUCGAAUAUAGUUUCAAUAUUAUUAUCGGAACCUCUCAAGGCAACAGGCGCAACAGCAAGCAUGGCUUCAGAAGCGAAGGUAAAUAAAUACACAGUUUCUGUUUUUCUGUGCAUUUACAUUAGUAUUGGAGGGUGUAAUUUGCUUAACGAUAUAUCGAGGGUGUAAUGUAAACUUGACUCCUCAAAUUAGAAGUUACCUGCAAAUAUUGAAUUUGAUUAUAGUGCAAAGAGUUGGUUUUGCAGUUUUGUGUACUAAAAGAUAUUGAAUAAUAAGAAGCUACUAUGUGGAGUGAAGUGAUAAGAAACCUAUUACGCUACUAGAUUGUGGUCAUCUACAAAUUUUGUGGGGUGCUGGUUGGGGUUGAUCAUAGAGAGAAAUGAUGUGCAUCCAUUAUUUUGUAUCUUAAGAAAAGCUUAAUGCCUAUCAAAGAUGACGACGGAAACUAGCAAUUAAUCUGAGACCAUCGCAGUUCUGAAGUGUAGUGACAACAGAGAAGGAUAAGGCUUCAAAUUUACCCCUUCAUGCACUGUAACUUUCUCCGAUCAAUCAUGAUGAGGACCAAAUAAUGCUUGUGCCAGCGAAUCACGAUAUUCGUAGUUAUCACCGUGUGAAAAGCCUCUAAAGUGCUUUAUAUUAUCUGAGAAGCCUACUAUUCUUAUGCUACCUAUAUUCUAAGUUCUAUUAUUGUUGCCUUAAAGCUCGUUAAAGCUUCUCAAUGUCCUUCCUUUUUACGAUAUCUGUUUUAUACAAUCUUGCCAUUUUGGCCUCCUAUUACCCUCAUAUAAUUAUCUUCCAUUUGACAUGUGGGAAGCAUGAAAUCCCAUUAAUCGAGUACAUUUCUCUAGCAUAAAAGACAGUCAUGUCAUUAUGUUUACUAUGAUCUUAAGUUUUUUAUUUAACCUUUUCGUUGCGAGUUCUAUAUGCUUCAUUUGUUAUUUUGGUUAGUAUUUGUAUUCACUUAUGUGGCAUCCUUCAUCUUGUAUCACAAUAGGCAAGAGAACGUGGCAAGGAAAGCUGCUGGGGAGGAGCCAUUGCCAGAAGAAGACCCAUCAAAUCCCAUCUUCAAGCCGAUUCCCGAGCCGUCACGCCUUGAUAGCUAUCUCAUUACAAAUCAAGUCGCUAAUUAUUGCAACCAAAUCAAUGGGUAUGGCCCAAAUGCUCUAUUUCCUUUUCCAACUUUUCCGUACUUGAACCUCUGAGCCAGCCUUAAAUUUUCCAAAUCAAGUGUGAUGCUUGCAUUUAUGUGUUUUGAAAAUUAAAAGGUAAGAUUACUAUCGGCAAACAUGCCAUAAUCCGGCACAGAAUAAAAAAGAUCCAAUAUAAAUCUAAUAUUCAUAUACACUGGAAUGAAGCAGACUCUAUCAAAUUUCAUUAGAAAUACAAAUAUAGUUGGGACAUGUUGUUUACUUACCGGGAGAUUGUCUGGAGAUGUGCAUCUCAAGGAUUGACUCUUCAACUGCGCAUCUUCUAAAUAAGCAUUUUCGCACGGCCUACGUUAUGCACAUGUGCGAUACUCCUGAUGGAUUAAGAAUGUCAAAUUAUGUAUUGUUUAGCUCUCUAGGAGGAACUGUAAUUGGUGUCUAUAUGUCAAUUGCCAAAUAUGUGAACUUAUCGAGGAACUAAAUAUUAACACAACGCAUUAUCAAGUCAAUUUUUGUCAUGAAUAAAUUGCGUCAUAGUAGUAUCCUAAUUUAUAACCUAGUCAACUGAAGAGCUGUUUUUAUUUUCUUUGGCACUAAUAUAUUCUAAUUGCUUCUUAUAUAUAUUUUUUAUUUUUUUUGCACUUAUUGAGUAAACGACUGGCUAAUUUCAAAGUAAAGAAGAUUUUGAGUCGUGACAUCAGCACAGAGGCCGUAUCGUGUAGACAUUUUAUAGGCACAAUACGACACUCCAGCGCACAACUUGUGCUGAUGGACAUUUAAAUCCUUGCUCCAGUUUUUCUUUCUUUCAUGUCCCUGACAGGACUACUUUGAAUUUAUCUUCUUCAUAAGCAAUUCUGCUCUCAGCUCGAUAAAUUACGCAUAUGAUGAUAUGAUGAAUCUUUGUUUAAAAUGAAAUAUUUCAGGGUCGCGGGGCAAAGUUUCAGCAGAUUAUACUUAAUGAAGGCCUUGCACGAUAACUAAUUUGCGUGAAUAUAUUGCGGCACUUCGACCUUUUUAGGCUCUGUUUCUGUAUGAAUACUUCUGUAAUUCCAUAGUAGGCAUUGUGAGUUCCUUUUCUUUUAUCUUUUUUAAUUUUCUAUGACCAUGAUGAGAAAUUUUGAUUGUGAACAAUUGCUUAGACUCUACCUUUAAAAGGUGUUUGCAGUGAAUUUUUAGUUAAAUGCAACAUAAUGGAAUUGUGAAUUCUCUUUUCAUUUUUAUUUUUUUAUUUUUAUUUUAUUUUUCCUCCUCUCCUGAAGAAGAUGUAUUCCUUGAAGCAAAAAAUUUUGGGUCUUCUUAAUAAUCUCUUCAUGAAUUAUUAGCUACAUUUUUCUGGCAGAAAUUUUCAGAAAAGGCAGGAAGAAGAAAUUGAUUCUUUAUCUCUUCAUUAAAUAUACUUUGUUUUUAAAACUAGUUUUGCCUAAAUUGUGAUCUAUGAAUCCAUGAUAUGGGUCAUGGACAUGCCCUAUAUAUUUCUAUUAUAUAUUUUUUAGAAGUUAACACAGUUUCUCUUUUGGUUGUAGAUUUAGGGCAUGUUUGGUGGUGCUGUAGAAAAUAGUGUUAGUUGCUGUAGUGCGAAGUAGCGCAGCGCUAUUGGAAGAAGCAUUAUGUAAAAUUAUAUAUAUAUUUUUUAAACUUUUAGAUCUCAUUAUUUUUACCAAAAAAAUUUCACAAGUUAUAUUGAUAUAAUUUGUGCAACAUAAAAUAGAGUUUAACACCAAUAUAUGUUUCAAACUACAGCUCAAAAUUAAAUGACUAGAUAUAUAAAUAGAAAAUUAUGCUAUUAUACUAUUAAUAGAAUUAAGCGCUUGGUGCUGUCGAGUUUUGAGUGGGUGGUUGGUUAAAUAAUAUAAUCUAACGGAUGAAAAUAAUUAAAAGGUAGAUCUAACGGCAGAAAAUACGAUAGUACUCAGAAUUUGGUACUGUCGAUAGUAUAGUAGCCCGACUCUAUAAAUAGAUAUGUGAAAAUAAACAGGAAAAAUAUAUUUUUUAAGUGAGAAAAUUAUUUUUUAUUUUUAUUUUAUUUGGGGAGUAACCAAGCAUUAAAAAGUGCCAAACCAAUAUUUAUUUACCCCUUAAAUUAUUUAUUCGGCACACUUGGCAAAAAUGUACAAUGCCACGUGGCAUAAUAUUGAGAGGUAUAGAGAUCCUUGCAAGGGGAUAAGGAUAGGGUUUGGAUACUCCUCUCACCCAAUAGGAGCCAUGAAUCCCAAACACCUAAUCUCAAAAAAAAAAAAAAAAAAAUCCAACACAUUUUUUUUUUAUAACACAAAAGGACCCAAUUUUAAAAACAAAUAUAUUUCCUAUUAUAACCCUAGGCUCCUCCACACUCCUAUACUCAAAACCCAUUGUUGCAUUAAAAAAAAAAAGAAAACAAAAAAGAAAAAAGAAAAAAAAAAAGGAAAAAAUGGCCACAGCUCCCAUGGCUAGCCAAUUGAGGAGCUCCUUCCUCUCUCCCACCACCACCACCACCACCACCUCUUCUAGGGUUUUGGUCACUCCCAGGGGCAUUUCUGGAAAUCCACUUAGGGAUCUUCACUCUAGGAGGAGGAGCUCUCUCACUGUUAGAGCUGUUGUUCCAGAGAAGGUAAGGAAUUUAGAUAUUUCAUGGCAUUAUUUUCCUCUUUUUUUUUCAUAAUAUCUUAAUUUGUUUAGAAAUUAAUGCUUUAGGGUUUGGUUAAUGUAAUUAUAAAGAUCGAUACUACAUAAUACAGUUCAAGAAAUAAUUUUAACACUCUCACUUAUACGACGUGUAUGGUGAAAAUUAGAUAAAUUAUAUUGCGUGCUCUAUUAGAAAAGAUUUGAACUUAUGAACUCUUAAAACUACAUAAUAUGGCUCGAAAAUAAUUAAUGUAAUUAUAAAGAUUAAUACCAUAAAAUAUGGCUCGGAAAUAGUUCUAACACUCUCACUUACGUGUACGGUGGAGAUCAGAUAAACUAUAUCACGUGCUUUGAUAAAAAGAUAAUAAAAUAGAUAGAAGAUUUAAAGUGCGGGGGUUUAGGUUAUGCUCUUGCACCAUAUUGCUUAAAAAAUUGAUAGAAAACGGCAUAAAAUUAGAAUUGUCAAGAGUUUAAGCCUCUUUCGUAGUGCGGUAAGAAUUUAUAUUUAAUUAUUUCUUGUAGCGAUUUUUCAUGUUUGGAUUCCUUGAAUCUGGUUAAAUUCAGUCAGUAAAUAGUUAUCAUGUGUAGUUUUUUUUUUUUUUUUUUUUUUUUUUUUUUUUUGUAUAUGAUCAUUUGAAAUAAUAGAAAAGAAUUAAUCCAUGCGGAUUAAUGACUCUAGGUAAUCAACUAAUUAUUUCUUUUUGUUGAGUUUAAAGCACUUAGACUCUUAUUCUUGCGCAAGCUAAGCUAUUAUGAUUAUGGGAAAACUUAAAAAAACCCCAUGUGGUUUCUUACUUUCUCACUUGAGUGCCCUGUGGUUUAAAGUGUAUCAAUUUGAUGCCCUGUGGUUUCAUUUUUAUCUUUUUAUUAUCAAUUUUAUUUUAUUUUUUUCUUAAAUCAGUGACAAAGUUAAAAUUAAAGAGUACUAAAGUAAAUAUUUGAUAAAUCUAGGUGAGUAUUUGAAGUUUUUUAUAUAUAAUUUAACAAAAUAUAAACGAAAAAACUAUAGAAAAGAUAAAGAUAAAGACAAAAUCACAGGGCACCAAAUUGAUACACUUUAAAUCACAGGACACUCAAGUGAGAAAAUGCAAAACCAUAGGGAGGUUUUUGAAGUUUUUCCUAUUAUUAUUAACACUAGAAGAGCACCUUUGUUUACUUAUUUAAAACUACUAGAAAAGCUUACUAUAAAAUUGUUAAUAAUUAGGAAUCUUAUUUUAAUAUUAAAAAAUUAUAUGUUUAGCAAUGGGGAUUGCCGUAUUUUUACAUUUCUUAAAGCACUUUAGUCUAGCUCCAUUUACGUAUACAAAUACAGUUAUAAAACUAUACGAAUUCUCAAGUUCUAAAUAAUACGUAGAAUCAGGUCCUUAAUGUUUAAGGAAAAAAAAAACUCGUUCUUUAGUUAUGAGUAGUGGGUGUGAUCCGUUUUUGAAUUAAUGAAGUUGGUGCGUGGAGUAAGGAUGCAGACGGGGCGGAUCCGGGGGUGGGAGAAAUUCUUCAUCUUCCGCCCCGUUUUUCUGACGAAUUGGGACGGAUUCGGAACUAGUUAUAUUUUUUGUUCCCGUUUAUCGUCCCAUUUAGAGCAGAUCGGGGUGGGAGCUUCGUCAAUCCAGAUCCAUUUACAUUCCUGGCGUGGAGCUAGGUUCUAAAUUUUUAUUUGUACUAAUAACUCAAAUAUUUAUUUAUUUUUUUGUUGUGUGUGUUGUACAGCAAACUUAUCAAGUGAUCCAGCCCAUCAAUGGAGACCCAUUCAUUGGAAGCCUUGAGACCCCAAUCACAUCGAGCCCACUCAUCGCUUGGUACCGCUAAAAUAAUGCGAAACAAUCGUUAUUCUCUAAAAAAAAAAAAAAAAAAAAAACUCAAGCCGUAGAGAAUGAUGUUUUUAUAUUUUUAUAUUUAACAGGUACCUGUCCAACCUCCCGGCCUACCGGACCGCAGUGAGCCCGCUCCUCCGCGGCGUCGAGGUCGGCCUGGCCCACGGCUACCUCUUAGUCGGCCCGUUCGUAAUAACCGGCCCGCUCCGCAACACCCCCUACGCCGGCCAGGCCGGCUCGCUCGCCGCCGCCGGACUCGUCGUCAUCCUCAGCAUCUGCCUGACAAUGUACGGCAUCGCGUCGUUCAAGGAGGGGGAGCCGUCCGUCGCCCCCUCGCUGACGCUGACCGGCCGUAAGAAGGAGGCCGACAAGCUCCAGACGGCCGAGGGCUGGGCCCAAUUCUCCGGCGGGUUCUUCUUCGGCGGCAUUUCGGGGGUUAUCUGGGCCUACUUCCUCCUCUACGUCCUCGACCUCCCCUACUACAUUAAGUAGGGGGUACUUACGUUCUCUGCGUUAUCUGCAUUUAGCUCCCUCAAAACUUUUUUUAUUAUAUUAAUUGAUCCCGCAAAAAGUUUGAAUGCAGAAAUGACCCUACGCUCUUACGCAAGAUAUUUUGCGUUUCUGCAACUCAAAUUUGUUUGGGUUCAAUUAUAAAAUGAAAUGUUUUGAGGAGCCCAAAUGCAAUAAAAAAGCAAAAAAAAAAAAAAAGGAAUUUAACUUUGUGUUCAUUGCCCUGCUUGUAUUUGUAUGUUCUUAACUUGAAGAGAAGUACUCAUGUUGGUUUGUAUAUUUGGAAUGGAGAAUUUUAAUGGGAAAUAUCAAUUUUAUGAACUAUGAAUUUAAUUGCUCAAAAGAUAAAAUAAAAUGUAGUAAUGGUGAUAUAACAUUAACUUUUGUGUUUAACUGCGAAACGAAAAAAAAAAACCUUAUCUCUCCUAAUUGAUGUUUGUUGUGUUUUUUGCCUUAUUUAGAAGUGCAUGCGAUUAUUUAAUAUAAAAAUUUAAUCGAAAGUAAUAUGAUUAUUAUUUCAAAAACAUCAUCCAUGGGGGUUCUAAAAAUUAAUGGCAGAAAAAAAAUUAUUAUUUGAUUUGUAAGAGAAAAGUCUUUUUUAAAUGCAAUAUAAUACAUCUCCAUUUAUUUGAAAACAUGCUAGCAACUAACUGUUCAGCAUUAAAUCUCUGAGUUUAUAUUUUUGUUUUAAACUAGCGGUGCAAUUCAGCUUGUGUUCCCCACGAAAUGAGUUUGAAAUCGGAUCAUUCGUUUAGUAAACAAGCCGAACGCGAAAUGAAUUUUUCAGCUCAUUUAAAUAAACGAGCCGAAUAUGAGCUAGGGUCAGCUCGUUCUUGUUCGGCCGAUAAUAGUUCGAAUACAUAUAUUUUAUAUUUAUAUAUAUAAAUAAAUAAUUAUAUAUAUAAAUACAGACUUUUAUUAUUUUAUUUUUUUAACCCAACCAAUUAUAAAAAAACUCAUUUAUAUAUAAACUCUCAACCAUUACAUCAAAAUUUAAUGGAUAAUAUCUCAUUAAUUUCUUUUCUAUAUGUAUAUUUUUUAAUCUUUUUAACUUAUUGUUCAUAAGCCAGCUCAUAUUCGGCUUCUUAAUAAACUAGCUGAAUACGAACUGAAAUUUUUAGCUCAAUAUUUUAACAAGCCAGUUUGUGUUCGGCUCAUUUGUGAUUCGAGCAGCCGACCCAGCUCGCAUUUGUUUGAUAGAUCGACACCCCUAUUUCAAAUGCUAUAAACAAAAAUAGAAGAAUUUGUUUGGUAAAUUAGAGCGACAGUUCAGGAAUUAAUUUGUGAAAUUCGUGGAACUUGAUCUCCAAAUUACUUCAAAACAAUUAAAAAUAAUUUUCGGUCCAGGAACCACGUGGUAGACCCGGUCCAUACACCGCACAACACAUCCUCAUCAAGUCCACGUAACCGUGAUAUGUAACCGUUACACCGAUUGAUUGUUUCCCUCCUAAAAGCAUCCCACACUGACAAGUCCAAAGAUGCGAUUUUUAGUUGGGUACAAAAUGUCGAAAUGUAUGGCGACCCCCUUCAACUAUUAGAUAUUUACAAAUCGCUGCAUUUUCUUUAUUUUAUUUUAAAACUCUUUGUAUUUUGAUAUGUAUGUUUAAAUUGAAUAUUAAUGUCUUUGAAAUUACAUUUUUAUAGUAAUUUUCAUUAAUCUUUAGUAAAUAAAUUGAUAAGAAUUAUUAGAUACCCCAUUAUAGUUUUUUCUUUUCGUCAGUCUUUUCGUUAACUUUUCGUUAAAUUACAUACAAAAAAUAUUAAAUAUCCCUUAUAGUUUAUCGAAUCUUUAUUUUGGUAUCAUUUAAUUUUAACUUAAUCGUUAUUUUAACGAAAAAAAAUAAUGAAGGAAAUAAAAAAAAAUAAAUAAAUAAAACGAAAGGAUACGGAAAAAAUAGCAUACUGAAGUGAGAAAACGAGAAAUUACAGGGUGGUAUUUGAAGUUUUCCCUAUAUAAAAACCAGUCCCUUUCCUCUUCUUCUCCUCUCUCUCUCUCUCUCUCUAUCUCUCUAAUGGCGUUCUCCUCUCUCCUCCUCACCACCUCCCCCACUCUCCCCCUCUCCUCCCACCGCCGCACCCUCCCAAUCCCCUCCACGCGCCCCCUAAAACCCUCCGUAAACCCUAAUUUCGCCACCAAUUCGUCGAAUCCCCGUUCGAUUGAGCCGCUCUUCGUCUCCGCUCGAGUUCGCGCGCGGGGGAGCUCGAUCGGAGAAGCCGAGGCGGAGGAGCCCUACGUCGAUGGGGGCGACGACGAGGGAGGAGCUCUCCGCGGCGAGGACUCGGCCGCGUUCGACUUGGGGGAGCAGAGGCUCGCCUCGUGGGCCUACUUCGCGGCGAUUUUGGGCGCCGUGCUCUUCGGAUUGAACGUGGUGUGGAUCGACCCCUCCACGGGGUUCGGGACCGCGUUCGUGGGCGCCGUUUCGAGCCUCUCGAGUAGCCACGAGGUGAGUCCUGUGGUAAAGGUCUCAACUUUAAGGGGAAUUUUGAUUUUUCUCAUAAUAUUAUUACUGCGUUCUACUUGAAUUUUGCAAUUUUGUAACUGUUUAAUGCAUAAAUAUUAGGAAUUUUGUAGUUUUGUUGAAUUUGAUAGAUUGGUAGUAUCGCCAUAUGAACUAUCAUAAGAUGUGUCCAGGGUGUUUUUGCGCGGCGCAAGCUUGCUAUAUGAAGAGCUUAUAUAACAAUUUUAUCAGUUUUCGCGUUAAAUAUCUGUAUAAUCUUCUCUCGACGAUUAAAACCUAAAACUUUUCUCAUGCUUCCACUUUUGUGCACCGCGCUUCUGCUUAUCGAGUAGAGAAGUUGUUUAAGAAGUGGAUGAAACAGGCAAUAAAUUGACUUUUGUUCAAUUAUUAGCAUGGACGAUGCGUGGAUGAGAUUUAUCUGCACUGGUUUUCUUCAUUUAGUUUGCGAUUUAUUGUCCGUUUAAAGUACUUAAAGAUAAAUCAGGUGAACUAACUAAAGUAGAUACACUAUAGGCGGUGAACUGGUGGAAAUAGUUGGGUCUUAAGGUAGAUAAGCCAAGAUCAAAAGGCAUAAAGGAAUUGGAAAGUUCAAUUUAUAUAAAAUACGUCAGAAUUGGUGAACAGUUGGAAUCAUCCUUUUGUGUGAUCGAUUAUUUGAAAAUUGAAAGAAAUUGGAAAAUAUUGGCUGAAGAGAAAUGAUAGAAAGUAAGUGAUCAAAUAGUGUAAGAAUACCCAACUUGAACCACAAUUCCCCAAACAUAGGAGCCAACAUGAAAAAUGAUUUAGGUGAUUGAAUCAUCAUCUUUAACUUGUGUUAAAAGCCAUAUAUUUUUGUAGCUAAAGAAAUCCAUGGUAAAUUGAGAAUGUGCUUAAAUGUGGACAAGAGAGCCAUAAGUCAAUGACUUUGGAAAGCCUUCAAAACAGGUGUCCUUUAAGAUAGAUGCGGCUGUCAGCCUGUUCAGUUUGAAAUUGUAAUGCGACAAGGGCAAGACAAGAUCAUCUCUCUCUCUCUCUCUCGCUCGCUCGCUCGCUCUCGUGCUCACUUUGUAUGUGUGUGCACAUGCUAUCCCAUCAAAGAAUGCAGUGCAAAUUGUGCAUCUUUAUUAUUAUUAUUUUAAUCUUCUUUUCUCGCUGCCUUUACUAGGCUGUGCUACCUUAAUUCUUCUCUGGUGCUGCCCUCAUAUAUAUAACUUAUUCUGAAAUUUUGUAUCUGCUUCGUAAUAUUUUCGCCAGUAUUGGACUAUCGAGUUUUGCCGGGCUUGAGAAUCUAUCUCUUUGGAGAAAUAUAUUGCCAUGUUAAGAGCACUCAUUGUGGGUUGUGGGCUUGAAAAUCCCAAUUUUACCCUCCAAGCUUCCUUUUUGUUGCUUUUUUGUCGGUUUACUGGAGGAGCUAAUUGUUAUCUUUCUAGGCAUCUAAUUCUUAUCUAGUUUAAUUAAAUUGUUUUCUUUUAGCUGAAUAAUUACUCCUGUUGCUGUUUCAUCCUCGAUGAGAUUUUGAAAGCUUACUCUUUCAAUUAUGCAGGUUGUAAUGUUGAUCCUCAUAAUCAUUUUUGCCGCUGUUCAUAGUGGUAUGGCUAGUUUCCGCGAUGCUGGCGAGAAGCUUAUUGGAGAGCGGGCUUACCGUGUUCUAUUUGCAGGAAUCUCCCUUCCCCUAGCAGUCAGCACUAUUGUGAGUUCUCGAGCAUCUUUUUUCUUCUCACUCGCUCUAGAAUCUUUCAUGCUAAAUUGCCUCCUAAACCUGAUUUCAGUUAAAUCCUUAGUGUGACACCCCAAUAGUUCCAUAUCGGAUAAUAUGAGAGCGUGUAACGUGCUUAUAUACGACUGGCACGCUAGAACUAAUAACCGGGCUUAAGCAUUUUGGACUAGUGAUUUUGACCCACGAGUUAUUAGUACUAGUGGGCUGGGUAGUUGCACUUAAGAGUUCAAUUUUAACUGCCCAGUUCCUGAAGUUUGUUCCAUCCAGCAAUUAGGUAAUAAUUAGGCUGUUCAUUCACCAGGCUCGACAUUAAAUACCACUAUAUCCACUACGUCCAACAAUUAUGCUGAGGUGUUGUCUUUUUCCAGGCACUGCUUUAACAAGAGAAUUUAAUUGUUACACCAAACAAACUUUAGGGGCUAAAUUGUUGAAUUUGAACCUCUAAGGACUUAAAUCAGGGUUAAAUUUCAAGGACCAAAAAUCAAACUUUUAAUUGAACUUUUCUAUAUAUUUUCUCGGUUAUUAAUUUUGGCUAGUGUUAUAGGUUUACUUCAUCAAUCACCGAUAUGAUGGUACCCAACUAUGGCAAGUCCAGAGUGUCCCCGGCAUCCACGAGCUUGUGUGGGUCUCCUCAUUCAUCUCAUUCUAUUUCUUAUACCCAUCCACAUUCAAUCUUUUAGAAGUUGCGGCAGUUGAUAAGCCUAAGCUGCACAUGUGGGAAACUGGAAUAAUGAGAAUCACCAGACACCCUCAGGUAUAUGGUACUCCUCAAUAUAUUCCCUUUGUUGGCAUGGUUGCUUAUCAUAGAAUAAUCUCAAGAAAGGGUGAAAAGUUUGUGGUAGUUUCUGAACUUUCGGCGAAUUGCAAUUUCGUCCCAAUUCAUUCGCUUAAAAUAGAUUUUGUCCCUUAAUAUCCGAUAUUUUACGUGAAAGCUUUCUCGAAAGUCUAGGUACUAUCCAUACAUUUUAGCUCCUCAAAAAUUGAGUCUAAGACUUACCGAUUGAGCAAUUUGGGUGCGAUUGCCAAUAAUUAGCAUAAAAGUUUGUUUUUUUUUAAUAUAUAUAUAUUUUUUGCUCUUAAUGCAGAUGGUAGGUCAGGUAAUCUGGUGCUUAGCUCACACUCUUUGGAUUGGCAAUUCUGUAGCAGUUGCUGCCUCUGUUGGCUUAAUAGCUCAUCAUCUGUUUGGAGUUUGGAAUGGCGAUAGGAGACUCGCUUCGCGGUAUGGUGAAGCUUUUGAAGUUGUAAAGAGCAGAACCAGUGUAAUUCCUUUUGCAGCAAUCCUUGAUGGCCGUCAAAGAUUGCCCAAAAAUUAUUACAAGGAAUUUAUUAGGCUACCUUAUCUUACAAUCACAAUUUUGACCCUCGGUGCCUACUUUGCACAUCCGUUGAUGCAAUCAUCGAGCUACGGUCUUCACUGGUAGUAAUACUGUAUGUCAAUAGAUCUACUUGUUCGACAAAGACAUGAAAAUCAUAUAAAAUCAAAUUGAAUUGUUGCUUUGCUAAACUGAGCAGAAUAACUGUUGCACACGGGAUUUCUCUUUACAAUUUUUGGCAGGCUCUUGUUUGGUAAAUGAGGAGAAACAAAAGAAGAGAGAAAUGUAGGUGAAAAUAAGAAUCUUUUAAAGAUCCUUUUGUCGAUGCAGAAGAUGCUUCUGAUAUUGUUGGAGCCUGAUCUUUUGGUGGCAGUUGAAACGGAGCAGCUGCUUCUUUAUAUCCACUCUCAUCCUCGAACUGCGAAGAAUCAUAAUUCUCAAGCCAAGCCUCGGAUGCUGCAAUAAAAGUCAGAUCAGUCUUCGUACAGAGAUUCAACAGUAAGAAAAAAAAACUUCCACUUUCUAUUAUGGAUUUAGAAAAAUUUCUAGAGUUUACCGGAACUAUUGCUCAUUUUGAUAUAGGUACUCAAACUUUAAAAGUUUUGAUUUUGAUAUCUAGUAUUAGAGUGUGUUUGAUUUAAGUACCUCUCAAGUAGAAUAUAACAGUGUUUGCAACAUUUUUGACAGAAUAUUCUGUAACAGUACAGAGAGUUUGAUAAACUUUUCUUUAAGAAAACAUUCAGUUCAGUUCCCGACAAUUUGAUGGAACUUUUCAAAAUUGAAAGUAAGUAGUCAAAUCGAAAUUUUGAAAGUUCAGGUUCCCAUUUUAAAAUGUGCUAUAGUUUUGGAAAGUUCUAUACAUUUUCAUCUAUGAAUUUGUCUACAAUGUUUACCUUUUCUUGACACUGUACUAUUCGAGUCGUCGAAGCUGAUCGGCCAGAGGAAAUAACCCAGCAGUCUAUACUUCAAAGCGAACUCUAUCUUCUCCUCAACCACGGUAUGGUCGUCGAAGCUGACCCAAACCCCGCCCGAGUAAAAAUAAGCAGAAACCGUUGAGUUAUCGUAUUGAGAAACUGUGGUGGGGUCUCUUAACAGUUGUUCAAUCUCGAAAUAUGCCAUCGAACCGGUCCGGUUGCUGAUCCGCUGCUUCGGCCCCCCGGCCACCACUGGUGAGUUGAUUCCAUUCUUCGCUUUGUUCUUUAAGAACCAAGAUUUUCCGUAUAAGGGAAUGCCCAAAACUAGCUUACAUGAAGGAAUCCCUGCAUCUAGCUAAGAAAUGUUCCCAUAGCUUGCUGAGAAGUGUGAGACCUUAUCGUAAAGUUGUGCAUAAAAAAUAGUGACAUUGCUAUUCUUGUGGAAGCCAAAUGAGACUGCAUUUAUCCAAUCUAGGUUGCUUGAGAUCGCGUCUAUUGGGUAGUCGAGAUCGUCGGACGGCCCGUCGAAUAUGUGGUUCGAGAAGUAAACCGUGGCGGUUAAAAGGAGCGGGGGCCGCGACGAGCGCUUGGCUUCGUCUUCGAUUUGAGCUCUCCAUUCUGCGAUCAAGAUUCCAAGGUUGGUCAGGUCGGCAGGGGAGGCGGGGAACUGCCACGCGAAAUCGAGGCCGUCGAACGCGUUGGCGCGGGCGAGGCCGAUCGCGGAGUCGAUGAAUGCUGACCGACAGACCGGAUCGGCGGCCAUCGCAGAAAACGCGACGUUCGAUGACUUGGAGUUUUGAUCAUCAGUGGAAAUGGACAGAAGGAUUUUGAGAGAUGGGUUUGUGGAUUUGAGGGUGGAGGAGAAUGUAGCUAAGAGUGGGACCUGGUCAGGUGGGGGAAGGGAUGUAAUGAGGAGCCUGGUGUCAAUUGAGGUGGAGUAGUAGAGGUGAGUGUAGAGAGAGGUGUUGAUGUUGGAGAGAGGGGAGUAGUGAUUGGAGGUGGAGAGCCAAUACCCAGCUCUCACCUGAUUUGAAGAGCCUGUGCAAUUGGAUGUAGAGAGAGAAACUAGAGAGAGAGUGAGGAGAGAGAUGAAGAGUGAGGUGAGGGGAAUUUGACCCAUUUUGAGGAGUUUGAGGAUGGCAAUGGAAGUGGAGGAUCAAGAGUUUUGGUUGUGGGCAUUGUUCAGAGAGAGAGAGAGUGAGAGAGGUGGACUUUGGAGAGCACUAAGGGCAAGUUGAAAAGGGGUGGUGCUUUGUUUGGAUUGGAUCAUUACUUUUAAAAAGAUGGGCUCACAUCUCUUAACCCCAUUAAUAGAAAAAGCUUUUUUGAGUGCUUCUCAUUUGGAGUGGGAGUUGAGGAUCAGUGGAUCUGGAAAAGGUAAAAGUCAUGACAGGCUGGUUCUUAUAUUACAUAUUCAGUUAUAUUGGUAUUGCCUCUGAACACAGCCCAAAUUAAUUCUCACUGUCUCCUAACUGAAACAUGGUUCAUGUGCUCACUGCUUCCCCCUUUCUCUCUCUCUUUCUCUCUCUCUCUCUCUCUCUCUCUCUCUCUCUCUCACAGUAGCUGAAAUAAAUUUUUGAAUCUUAAGUCUGGUCUUGCUCUCUCUCAAAGAGCAAUCAUUUAUGGUAGGGUGUUUGGUGAUAUAAGAAUUCGAACUUUCUAGUAUAAUAGAACUCCGCUUAUAACUUAUCAUUUUGCUGUAGUGUGAGUUCACUUUAAGUCUCAGAUGACGGAAACAUCAUAGUGGCCAAAGUUGAUAGUUCUGUUUUCAUAGUUUUAUUCUAACAGCACUUCUCCAAACUUUACUUGGAGGAAUGAGUCGCCGUGAAAGAGACAAAGAGGUAUGUUUCCUUAAGAAUGGUGCUAUAAACACAAUUUAAUUAGUCGCCGUUACUAAGCAUUUGGCAUUAGGUGAAUGUCACAGCUUGUUUAGGCACAUUAUUAAUAAUUUAUUCCAGUGGACCAUUUUUCAAUUCCAUGGCCUCAACUGCCUCACUCAUAUUUUGCAUCAGCACAAGCUGACCUACAAGGCUACAGCCCAUGUGAUGUAAAGUACAAAGCUGGUAGCAAAAGCAUAGAAGGGUGAGUGUCUUUUGUGUGAGGGAACUAUUAUACAGAGAACUUUUCUGGACACUGGCCAUGGAUCAAAGUUUUAAGUGCUUUUUUUUCUGCUUCUGAAUAACUUUUCUACUAACUGAAUUUAGUUUGGAGUAGAAAGGACGGGUGAGGUCUCAGGUUUCAAUCCAUAGGAAAACUCAGGAUUAUGCACAGGAACCAAGCAAAACUCAGGAUUCAGGUGUGGAGAGAGAGAGAGAGAGAGAGAGAGAGAGAGAGAGAGAGAGAGAGAGAGAGUAGUUUCUCUACUUGAAGAAGCAGUAGUAGAACUACUAGAGGGAGAGAGAAUAGCUUGUCUAUUUGAAGAACCAAUAANAAUUUAUUUUUCUAAAAAAAUAGACAAAGUGGGUAUCACGCUACUUUUUUCUCUUUAAAAAAAAAGUGUCCCAAAAAAAAAAGGGCAAAAACUUCAAAUACCACUCUUGUAGUUUUAUACUUUCUCACUUUAGUAUUAUGUGGUUUAAAGUGUAUCAAUAUAGUGCCAUGUGGUUUUAUUUUUAUCUUUUUAUUAUCGAUUUUACUAAUGUCUUUUUGUUAAAUCAGUGAUAAAGUUAAAAUUAAAGGGUACUAAAGUGAAUAUUUGAUAAAUUUAGGUAGGGUAUCUGAAAUUUUUAUAUAUAAUUUAACGAAAUAUUAAGGGAGAAGCUGAGAACCAAUGGUGUAAGAUUUAUGCGUUGCAUGUGAUAAAGGGCCGAUCGGACGGUGCAUCAUUGCUUUAAGAAUUGUAUAUUUUAUUUUAUAUGAUAAAUUAUUAUUAGACUAUCUCUUCGUGGUGAAGCUUUCUAUCUCAUUUUUAUUCGAAUAAUUUAUCCGAAGAGAGAAAAAAAAGCUAAAAGAUAGAAAUUAUUUUUUUGGAAAUGUCUGCUUUCUUUUUUCUUUUUUCUUUUUUUUUUUUUACUUUCUUACUUUUAAAAAUAUUUUAUUUUAAAAAAUUACAACUUUAAUGAAGAGGAUCGACUAAAUGACCACAUUAUCCUUACUUAUUCUGUAAGAAUAAUUUGGUCAAAUUAAUCAUAGCCCUGCUACACCGUCACAUCAGCGACAAUAUUCUAAAUUAGACCGUGAGACUUAAUUAAUUAUUACCACACUAUUAGUCGCGGUACUGCUAUCACCGUCACAUCAGCGGCAAUAUCAUUAUUGAGUUAACUAUGACAAUAUCAUUAUUGAGUUAACUAAAUUAGAUUAUGAAACUUAAUUCGCAUUAGCGACAACACCACUAUAGAGUCAAUUAAAUUAUAUUGUGAGACAAUUAAUUAUUACCGCACCAUUAAUCUUAGCAUAGCUAUCACCGCAACAUAAGCCAUAACAUCAGUAUUGAGUCAAUUAAAUUAGACUAUGAGACUUAAUUAAUUAUUAUCACGUCAUUAAUCAUAACACUGUUAGCACCGCCACGUCAGCGAUAAUAUCUAUAUUAAGGUUUCGUUUGGAAUUGCGGGGAGAUUGCUGUUUGUUUCAGUACGUAAUAUUGCAUAUUACUGUUAGUCGGUUACGAUAUAUUUUCUACGGUUCCAUUGGAGAACACAGAAGUAUAUUUCUAUGCUUUUUCUCAAUUUUAUUUUAUCUAACAGCGUUAAAUAAACCUCAAUACCAAACUAAGCCUAACUCAACUAAAUUAGAUGUGACACUUAACUAAUUAUUACUAUGCUAUUUAUGGUGAAUCUUAUUUGCAAUAAUCUUGAAGGUUGAGGUAAAAUCUAUAACAAAUUAAGAGUUUUAUUUUUAGCAUUUAGCUUCCGCAAAUUUUUUUUAUAAAUAGUUCAAAUAAAUUUAUAUUUGUAUAAAUGAUUAUUUUCUUAUUACGCAACCGCCGUAUUAGUAGUUUUAAGUUUUUUUUUAUUGCCCAUAAGUUGAAAAAUAGGAUUAAAGUGUGGAUAUCAAUUCGAUAAUUGAGUCACCAUAUUUAAACAUAAGAACAUGGUGAUUGUAUCAACGUGUUCAACUUAAAAACGCCAAUUUGACACUCGCAUGAUAAGGAGAGGAUCAUUUAUGCAAACAUAAUUUUGCUACGAUCAUUUGUAAAGAAAAAAGUUUUGAGCGGGGUAUAUGCAAAAAGAUCACAAAUUCAAGUAUGAGGACUAAGUGUCACAAACUCAUAGUUUGAGGACUAAAGUAUAAUUUAGCCCAUCUCUUUCAAAUAGCUCUUCUCGUUCGUCCUCGUCCUCCUCUUUUUCCUUCCUCCGAUCUCCCAUGGCCACCACCUCCAUCUCCGUCGCCCUCAACUCUCCGGCGAUCUCUUCCCGCCUCGCCGCAGCUUCCCGGAGGGCGGCGCCGCCCCUCGCGCGCCGCUCCGCCGCGCCGGCCACCUCUCUCCGGUCGCCGCCUCUUCGCGCCGCGUUCGGAUCCGCUGAACCCGCACCCUUCGCCUUCUCCGGUAAUCAUCGCCCCUUCCCCUUUCUCUCUCUCGCUUGUCCCUCUCAUUGCUCUAGAUGUUGGAUUCGAUGCUGAGUUUGGGGCUUUAUCAGCUGUGAUUGGGCCAUGGUAGUAGCGUUUUGGGGCUUGCGAGGUUGAACUUUGAGAUCUAUGCGUUGAGAUCCUGUUUAUUUAAUUCAACCCAUAUGAUGGUUCUUCUGGUACAAAAUUUAAGUCCAUUAACAUUUUAGUCACGUGAAUCACACGGAAUAUGCUAAUCAAGCGCACAUCAAAAUUUUGAAGUAUAAGAGUCAUUAAAUGGCUCAAAACAAAUGAAUUAAAAAGUUUGAUAGCAAAAUUAAAAUUUUUCAAAAGGCAGGUAAUUGGAUCAAAACCGAUUGUAGCUCAGGUAAGUUUUUUGUUCUGUAGGUGAAAAGGUUAUGAGAUUGAUUAAUUUUUCUCUCUCUCUCUUUUUUUUUUCUUUUUUUUUUUUUUGACCUUGAUGUUAUGAGAUUGAUGUUACUGUUGGUUGAUAGGUUUUAAGCUGUAGGAGUUAUUGAUGCAGGUUUAAGAACUCAGGUUUCAACUACUGAUCAGGCAAUUACUGAAGAUGCUCAAAAGGUGGAAGCUCCAGUUGUUGUUGUUACUGGAGCCUCCAGAGGAAUUGGAAGAGCUAUAGCAUUGGCUCUUGGUAGGGCUGGGUGCAAGGUUUGUAUACUUUGAUCAUCUUAGUUUUUUCUACUACACUCAAGUUUAAAAUUUUCUCUGUACAAGCAUCAGUUACUUCACCGAGGACCUAUUUGGAUACCAAAAUACCCGUAGUUGUUGUCUAAUAAUAUAUCUCUCGAUAACUGUGCCGUAUAGGAUUUUCUUUCGUGAUUAAAAGCUAGAAAUUUGAUUAUAGCUGGUGUGGAAUCUUAAUGAUUCUCAGGAGAUGAUUUUGCAACACUUUGAGGAAAAAAAUGAUGUAAGAGGCCACAUGCACCGUCCAGUUGUAGAUGUACUCUCAUAUCCUCCGUCAGCCAAUUACCAUACGUCCCUUGAGUAAGCAAGAAAGAUAUGCUGAAAUAUGCUUUCAUUAUAUGUGAAAUAGGCUAUUCAUUUGUUCAGGAUAUGAUAGUUUACCUUGUAUGUGAAAUAUUCUAUCCUGAAAUACCAUAAUUAUUAGACUUCACAAUUGCUAAUGGUUGAAUUUCUAUCUUGUAAUCACCAGAGGAAAGAGCAUUACAAGUUAAUUUCCGUAUAAUUUGUUCCAACAUCCAAACACCAACUAAAAACCAUAGAAGAUUGGGUACUUGUGUAACCUUUGGCUUGAGGCCUUUGUAGAACAAAUUUCACACUUUUCAGAUGCUCAAUAGGUUGGCAUUAUAUCAUUUGCAGCUUAGGGUGUGUUUGGAUCGGUGGAAAACUGAUCCGAAAAUUUUUUUUCCCUUGAAAAAUGAUUUUCGGAUGUUUGGUUGUUCGUAAAAAGAAAAAUUUGAAAAGAUUUUUUUACAGAUCCUGAGAAAAGGUUGGGUUUUCGUUUUCCGCUCAAAACGAGCGGAAAACGAAAACUCAUGGCCAAAAGAGCGCGGCUCUUGUGGUAGGAUAUGCGCAGUCCACGAGGUCCACUUCACCUCGUGGACCGCAUGAGAGGGAGUCCACGGUCCACCAUGGACUCCUCUCUCUCUUCUAUUUUAUUUAUAAAUAUUAAUUAUAAUAAUAAUAUUUGUAGUAUUAUAAUUAUUAUAUAUCAAUAAUAUAUAAUAUGUGAAAUAGGACAAAAUAUAUAUUAUUACAACUUUUUCGUUUUUUUUCCUUUCAACCAAACAACCGUAACGGAAAACUACUUUUUUUUCCUACAAACCAAACACUACAGAGCGUAAAAUUUAUUUUCCUCCAAAAUUUUUUUUUCCACCGAAAAUUUUUUUUCAUAGUUUUAUGUAGAACCAAACACGCCCUUAGCAUUUUCUUGUAAUAUAUGACGCUAUUCAUUUAGUUGAAGUGAUUUAUUCUUGACGGGUGAGAUUAUGAUUAUGCAUUUGUUUGAUGCUAUUUAAGAUAUUCUGUUCUGAGUGCCAGCUUCUUCUAGUUGCUCCACUCAUUUGUUUCUACUGUUUCUCUGGGAAGAGAUAUUUUAGUUGCUCUAUUGGUUUAUCAGAUUAACAAUUCUUUCACUUGUAAUAACAGUUGUUUUAUCCAUAAUGUACAUGACUGUCCUAAUUCUGCAUGCCUCUGCAAGAAGCUUAGUAGUUGAUAGUCUUCUCAUUCUAUUCCAGGUCCUUGUGAAUUAUGCGAGAUCUGCAAAAGAAGCUGAAGAAGUUUCAAAAGAAGUGAGUUAUCGUUACCUCAUUUGUCCCAAGUCAUAACCUGCCGAAGUAUCAUCCACCUAUAAUGUUUUUGCUCAUCUUGUUGCAUAUGCUUUUGUAUAAGAAGAACACUUGUGUGAAGGAAAAAAGGAAAAAAAGAAAUAGAAAAAAAAACUCUAGAAAGGAGCAUAAGAUCAGGAAUAUGAUACAGUAGUAGAGUCCUGAGAGCCUCAGACUUUGGUGUUACACAGUUAAGGGAGGGUGUGUUGGGUGUUCUGCUAGGUAUUUGAUGCAUUGAACCAGCAAAAAGUGGUCACAGUGGCCUUUUCUUUUGUUCCUUUUCUUUUCUUUUCUUUUUUCAUAUCUUCUACCUUUUCUCAUCCUAAGCAAUACUUUUUCGCAGCAAUUUUUGCUUUUAUUACUAUUUGGGUAUGGCACAGCAGCGAACAACCUGCAAAUACUACAUCCUGCUUCAGAUUUCUAUGUCAUUGAACGUUGCAUUUUUUACCAGCAUCUUUUGCAAUUUUUACUUGACUAUUGCAAAUUUACUUGCAACUAGAGUGCUCUUUGUAAUUAAUCAAACCAUCUCUAACAUUUCUUUUUCUUUUUUUGGGGUAAAAAUUUAUGUGUAUAUUGAGUUAUCAACGAACAUAUAUGAGCAAUUAACAAAGUUUACUCAACCCACUAGAAAAUCAUGGGCUCUCGUGCCCUACAUACUCGAGGCUGCAUUAGAGUGAUACCAUGGUGAUAUACCUCGCUUGUGAUGUCUUGCAUCUUACACAUUCAGAUUUAUGUUAGUCUUCAUAGGAACUUCCACCCGACCUAAAAAGGCUACUUCAACAGAUACUCCACUUUGACGCGUGGAUAUGCCCAUUAGAUGGUUUGUUCUCAUUCUCAGAUCCAGAAUAUAAGACAUUUCUCUUUUUUAAUUCUUUUGAUAUUUAUUGUAUUGCAGAUUGAGUCAUCUGGUGGUCAAGCAAUUAUAUUUGGAGGGGAUGUUUCAAAAGAAGCUGAUGUGGAAUCUAUGGUGAAAACGGUGGGGGCAAAUUUGCAAUUAAUUCCUCUCUUAGAGUUGGCUACUACAGCAUGAUUUCCUAUGCUUAUAUUAUGGAUGCAUGGUAAUUUCAGGCAGUCGAUGCCUGGGGAACGGUUGACAUAUUAGUGAAUAAUGCAGGUAAUUAGAAGUUGACAUUUCUGCCCUUUUCCUUCUUUGAACUUCAUCAUCUUAUUUUCCUGAGAUGAAAUGAUAAUAAUUUCAGGAAUUACUCGAGAUACAUUAUUAAUGCGAAUGAAGAAAUCGCAGUGGCAAGAAGUAAUUGAUCUCAAUCUUACAGGAGUUUUCCUCUGUACGCAGGUAUCUACCCUCGUGCUAUUUUGCAUUGUAAUUUGAAAAUCAAACUGUUGAAUAUUUUUCAUCGUAAUUUUAUCUGCUCUUUUAUAGGCUGCAACAAAAAUUAUGAUGAAAAAGAAAAAGGUAUGCUCUGCUACAUGAACUAACGGUUUUUUUAUUUUCUUAGAUCCAUUAAACAUAUUUCUGGAACACCCUUUGCCAUUACAAUCCUCAAGAGUGUGGUUUGAAAUGAAAUAAGCACUCCUUUUUAAGGUCUUAAAUAUCAUUCCUAUUAAGAAAAAUAAUCUCAGAAAACUAUCUAAUUCUUCUUCAAACUUUGUCAAAAUAUUUCCCUUUUCUUCCUCCGUUGUCAUUCAUAUCUCCUUCUUGGUGGCUCAUUUAAUCUAAGAUCAGCUCUUCUAUUAGCGGAACAGCAGUACUUCUAGGUCCAGAACUACUAUGUGGCCAAAAUUGAGAGAAUAGAACCUGUUGCUUGCUUUCAUUUCAAUUUCAUCUCCGUAGCACAUGACUAGCCAGUUAGUUUCAAAUGGAUGACUCAUAAGUAUUUGUUCGGAGUCAGAAGAUCCUUCAUUUUACACCUCCUCAGUAAAAUUAAAAUCGCAACUUAUUCUCACUUCAAAUUGAGAUGAAAGUUUUUUUGUAACAGGAUCAUAGCCUUUAUGCAAGUUCUUCUCUCACAUAUUAUAUCAUUCGGCUAUUCUGAUCAUUUGAUAAAAUUGUUUUCAGGGGAGAAUUAUUAACAUAGCAUCGGUUGUCGGUCUCGUUGGAAAUGUUGGUCAAGCUAAUUAUAGCGCUGCCAAGGCCGGGGUAAUUGGCUUCACGAAAACCGUCGCAAGGGAGUAUGCAAGCAGAAAUAUCAAUGUGAGUUUAUCUCUCUGUGUAGGGCCUUGUGCAUAUGUUCUCUGCAAAAUCAUCUGUUUACUUUUAGAAACUUCUAAAUUUUAUACACCCCUCUUUGGUUUGGUUGGAAAGGUUUUGUUUAAAGAAGGGAUACUUUUGUAAGAAAAUUAAGUUUUUUAAAGAAAAAUGUGAAAUUUCAAAUUUCACAUUUUGCAGCGGAUAUAGAUGUACACAUAUCAUAUCUCAGGGGCAUAACUUUUAAGUAUAUUCCUUCUAUGUCGAAUCUUCGUAUUUGUGUGACCCUUCGACGUGCCUUGAACAUCGAUUUGCAUGUUGCUUAGGUUAAUGCUGUUGCUCCCGGAUUUAUUGCAUCUGAUAUGACUGCUAAGCUCGGAGAGGAUCUCGAGAAGAAAAUCUUGCAGACAAUCCCACUAGGUAUGUGUGACGGCCCUCAUAUUUUCGGCCAACUAGCAACAGAGAUUUGAACUGAGGAUAUGGAUUCUUAUGAUUUAUUCGUAAAGAAAGUAACAGAUAAUACAUAAAUCAUAGAUGAUUUAACAUAAUGCAUGAAUCAUCGUUUCCCUCUAUGCUGUGAAUUGAACAAAAUCAGAUUUCUGUUUGUAAAUAUCCAAAGCAAAAUGUCGACCUAACUGGUAUUAGUUUCAAAAAGCGUUACAAGACAAAUAUGGUGCUAACUUCUAUUAUCCUUUUAGUAUUGUUAUUCAUUCUCUUUCAUCUAUCAAAAUAGAGAUGACAUAAUAUGUUUUUUCUUUUUAACUUUUUAUUCUCAGGGAGGUAUGGUCGACCGGAAGAAGUUGCUGGCUUGGUGGAGUUCCUGGCCCUUAGUCCUGCGGCUAGUUACAUUACUGGCCAGGUAUGGCAUUACGUUUAGCCAAUUUAUGGGUUAAACUUACGACUAGCUGGUGAAUCUAAAAACCUACAUGCCUCGUGCCUAUUCGGCCGAGCUUUUGACGGAGCUUCUCUACCCCAAGAGGCAACAGCUAUGUGUUUGGCUAGCCAAACUCCUCUGGAGCUUUGAUGUGCCAGAUGCUUUUAAGAUCCAGAAGUAGAUGUUUCAAUUUUCGGAACACCUGCUUUUGGUACGGCGAAAAGCUGUUGAGAAGAGAGUAUAUUCAAAAGCUCUUCAAGCAUCUUUUACUCAAACAACACUUCUGCCAAAACUCCAACGUGGCUAAACAGGGACGCCUAACUCAGCUCAGAAACUUUCACUGGUGAUUGAUCUCGUCGAAUUCUUACAAUAUACUUAGAUGGUGACAAUAGUAAUAAAAACGCAGGUGUUCACCAUUGAUGGCGGUAUGGUAAUGUAGAACAGGAGCAGAGCUUAUGAAAACAGCAUUCGGAUAUCGAACUAAUGAUCUGUUAUUACGGCACCAUAUCGCACUCUUUGCAGGUAAAUAACUCGGCAUAGAGUUAGAUUUUCGAGAAGGUACCUAGCAUUUUUGCAGUUUCUGUGUCUUUCCUUGCAAAUUUCUGUGUGUUUUUUUGUUGCUAUAUAAUCCCUUUUUUGCCUGUUGUUUUGAAAUGCUUUUUCGAAAUGAGCUUAUCAGAUAAAGAAAAGUUUGGCAAUUUAUUGGACAGUUUUGUUGCCAUUUACUGAUGGUUUCUCUCCAUUUGAUUCUACAAAAUAAUUUUCUCUCUCCCUUUUGUCAUUGAUAAUAAUUAAUAGGUAUAAUUUGUAAGUACUAUUGUUUAAACAGUCCAGCUACUAUACUCUUAUGAGUACGAAGGCGGCUCUUAUGAGUACGAUCGCCUUCGUACUCAUAAAUCCUUUUUGAUAAUAGAGCUUCCGAAUCGACGAUCCAUACUGUUAAACAUUAGCUAAGACAUUUAAAAUUUCUAGAAAUUAAAUUUUAUAGUUUUUUGACAUCAUUUAUCUUACGAUAAAAAAAUAUCAAAAUUGAUAGUUUUUAACGGCCAGUAUGGAUUAUGGAAUACUUGUUAGUUUAACGGUGUAAAAGAAUCGGAAUUGGUUGAAUUUUUGAUAAAAAAUUCUAUUCAUUAUCUAGAUAAAGAUUAUUAACUCUGAUCUUAAAUUGGAGGAUCCGAUCAUCCAUUUUUGGGAUGUCAUUCGAUUUUGACGGUUCAUUUUAUACCCGCUUGGUGAAUUUUAUUAUGAUUUCGAAAAGUUACGAAAUUUAUUUUUUAAAAGUUUCAAAUACUCAAAAUUAUAUUUAACGGAAUGGAUUGUCGACUCAGAAGCUCAAUCAUCGAAAAUAAUUUAUGAGUACGAAGGGUUCAAUACUCAUAAGAGCAUAGUAGCCCUCCUCUUGUUUAAAUUAGGAAACUAAUAAAAGGCCAAGUUGCAAAAUUCGCCCUCGCAUUUUGCCCCGUGUCUCAAAUACCUUUGUCUAUUAAAUUUUGCUUUAAUUUGAACCCGGUGUAUUACAACUGUUUCAAAUUUGUCAAAUAAGUUGGUAUGAUGAUUAAAUUAGGAUGCAAAACUUUACCUAAAUGAUUUGACAUGUCGCACUAGGGUUCUAAUGGAAUAAUUAAGAAUUUAAGUGUUAUGAUACGAAGUCGUGUCAAGAACAUGUGACGAUAGUAUAUAUAUGAUAUUUGUAUUGUUUUAGCAUUAAUAUAUUAUAAUUACUUUAUAUAUGUUUUUAUUUAUUUAUUUUUUAUUAAAGGAGAUUUUACAAUGAUAUGUGUGUAAAAUUUACACUCUAUCUAUCUAAAAGCCGCUAUUUUCUUUCUUGUAUUAUCAAUUGUCAGCAGGUCAGGUUUGGGGUGAAUUUUUAAAAAUCCAAAUCCAAACUACCGAAAUCAAAAUCUAAAUCUGAAUAUAUCGGAUGUUAAAAAUUCAUAUUCAAAUUCAAACCUAACAAAAAAUAAACCUGAAUCCGAAAGUAAUUUUUUUUUACUAAAUUUCAAAACAUGUUUUAUUAUAAUCUAAAAUUUCAUAGCAUAAAUUCAAAUUUUUUGUUAUAUGGGUAUAAAUAAAAAUCAUAUCUAAAUAAUACUCGUUUAGUAUCAAUUAAAUUCAUUAUGUUCGGAUUCAAAUUUAAAUAAAAUUUUAAGGAUUCAUUACUAUUAACAUUCCUAAGUGUGAGAUGUUUAUCCUUCUGUAUGAGGGUGUACUAGGGCUGUUUUUUUUUUUUUUUUUUUUUUUUUUUUAGGGGGCAAUUACUUAUAUAUAUUUAUGAAAAGUUAAGUUUUCGAUUUUUUAAUUUACCCCUCUUAGAAGGUUAAUAUUAAAAAUAUUUUUUUAACGUUACAAGUUAUUUCAAAUAUAACUUUAAAGUUAAAUUCUAUUAGUAAACUAUCAGCAACUGCUGUUAUUUUUAUGAAAUUAUUAUUUUGCUUUUUCAAGUAUAUCUUUCUAUCAUGACAAAUUUUUUUUAUUUGCUUUUAAAUUAGAUGCAAAAGAAGUAUUUUAAUUUUGUCUUUUCAAAUAUACCUUAAUACUACCAUCAAAUUUUUCUAUUUAUUCUUAAGUUAAGGAUAAAAGAUGUAUUUUAGUUUUUUUAAUUAUGGUGGAUAUUUAACUCACGUUUAACCAGCGAUACUUGACGGACGGUAACUGCAGAGGUAUUUUUAAAUAAUAGGGAAACAUACUAAAAGUAUAUUUAAAAUAAAAAAAUAUAGAUAAAUUAGAUAUUUCAUAUUUUGAAGGGCACGCAGGUAAUUUUUUUUUUUUUUAAUAUUGAUGGAAAAAGGUGUUGGUACUUGGUACCUGUUUUGACCAGCCGUACUGGCAGAAUAAUUCUACAGCUCAAUUGUACACUUUUGUGACUUACUAUUUUUUUUAUUUGCAAAAGAAAACGUCUAUUAUGUAGCAGCUAUUAGCUAUAUUACAUCAUUUAUAUUUAAUUAAUUAUAUAUAUUUUUUAAAUAAUAUAAUAAAAAUAUUUUUUAAAAAAUUAUAAUAUGAUAGAUAAAUCUCAAAAGUGUGAACCUACUAUUUGAUUUUAAGAAAUGCUACCUAUACAUCUCAAAAGGAGGUGAUAAAUUUUAAAAUAGUUUUUAAAAUAAAUUUUGAGAAUUUUUAAAAUCUUAAUUUUAACAUUUUUGAUAUUUUUAAUCAUUUCAUUUUGGAUAAAUUUAUUUUGUUUUAAUACUAAAAAUUCACCGAGGAUUGUCUAUACUCUCAUGAGUUUAUCUAAAAAAUUAUUUUUAAUCUGAAAAUUAAAAGUUUGAACAACAAAUUGACAUUAAGUUUUUACUAGAAAAUUACUAGAAAAAAAUUGAAAUAGGCAUUUGAUAAAUUUUUACUGAAAGGGUCGAACUUGUUAAGGCUUUGUUUGAGAUUGCGGGGGAUUGUGUACGAUGGAAAAAUACUAUGCUUGUUUCCGCGCGCAAUAUUGCAUUUCGCAUAUCGCAAUGAGUUGGCUACAAUAUAUUUUCUGUGAUUCCAUCGGAAAACACAGAAGUAUAUCCCUAGAUGCUUUUACCUUAACUCUAUUUUAUCUAAUAACGUCAGAUGGAUUUCAAUACCAAAUUAACCCAAGUGCUUAGGAGAGUCGGAUGUCCAUGUCCAUUUUACUUAAGUAGAGCGUCUUAUAUGAUGGACAAUGCUAAUUUAUUAAUAAUAUAAUAAAAUAUUUUAAGUAUUUUUUAUUUUUUAUUUUUUGUAAUUGGCACACACCGAAUGAUCUUGGGGAUUAUUAUUUUUAGGGAAACUUCAAAUAUCAUCUGUGUUUUCGCACUUUAUCACUAUUGUUUGAAGUAUAUCACUUUCGUAUUCUGUGAUUUUAUUUUUCUUUUUUUUGUUAUUCUUUUCACUAUUUUUUUUCGUUAAAUCAGUGAGAAAAAUAAAUAUUCGAUAAACUAUAGGUGAGAUAUCUGGAAUUUUUUGUAUAUGAUUUAACAAAAGUUAAUGGAGGUGGUGAUGAAAAGAAAAAAAAUAAAACCGCGGGAUAUUAAAUAGAUACAUUUUAAAUUAUAUAAUACUAAAAUAUUAAAGUGAGAAAAUACAAAAUUAGGGGGUGGUAUUUAAAAUUUACCCUACCACGUCCAACCCCAAGCAGAGGUACACGUAUACAUAAACGCCACGUGUCCACUCAUCCGUGUCGCAACCGCUGCUGCCCGCGUGUCUCAGCCGUCCAUCAACCCCCACACAUUCACACUCACUUUUUAAGGUAAACUUUUGGGCCCUCAAACUACUGUAUCCUCAAUCCUCAAUUUAUUAUAAUUUAUUAUUUCAAAAUUUUAAAAUUAUUUAUAAUUUAAAAUAAUAAAUAAUUAAUGUAUCAUGCUAUUUUCGAUACAUCUAUAUUUAGUCAAUUAAAUUAAAUUAUAAAAUUUGAUUAUAAUAAUUUACCAGAACUUAAAAAUUGUAAUAGAUUAAAAGACCAAAGUGCCCCUCUGUAGUUUGAAAACCAAAAUUUAAAUUGAAUAUAAACUUAAUAUAUCAAUUGAUUUUUUUUUAUCUUAUUCAAACAAACACCUUAAUAAGACAUGCAAAAGUUAUAAAAAAUCUAUCAUUCUCAAAUAAUUUUAAAAAAUAGUACAAUAUUUAUUUCAAAGUACAACUUUCAUAUUAUGUGAUACAACUUAAUUUCUAAUAAUUUUAUGCAAUUUUUAUCUCAAAAAAUGUACUUUCGUCUCAAUUUGUGCAGGUUUUAUAUUAAAGAGUGCAACUUUUGUAUUAAACAGUAUAAUUACGUCUAAAACAAUAUGACUUUGUUUUUUUUCUCUUUAAUCUCUACUUCAUCUUUUCUGUAGCGAUCACGGCUCGAGAUGUCAACGGGUCGGGUUUGGAUCGGAUUUUUAAAAAUCCGAACUCGAAAACCAAAUUAAAACUCGAACCUGGACUUGAUUCCUGCUGGUUUUAAAAAUCCAUACCCAUAUACCAGACCAAAAACUCGAAACCCGAAUCCGGACCCGAACCCGAACCCGAACUCGGCGGGUUUUAAAAAUUCAUACUGUUGGAUGAAGAUCUAAGGAAUAAAAAUUAUUAAAUAUUUUAUAUAUUAUAUAAAUAAAUAAAAAUAAAUUAUGUAUAUAUAUAAUUUAUUCGGAUUGGGGUCGGGUUCGCGUUCGGAUCCGGUAAAUACAAAAUUCAUAUCCGUAUUCAUAUCCGUCGAUUUUUAUUUUCUAUACUCAUAACCGAAUCCAUACCCGUUUAGCUCGGAUAAAUCCGUCCUGCUCGGGUUCGGAUUUGGAUAACAUUUCAGAUAUCCAUACCCUUUGACAUCCCUAAUCACAGCAUAUAAUAUUUCUUCUUAAAAGAUAAUUAUUUCAUUUUUUUACUCUUUAUUUUUUUUUUCCUUUCCAUUAUUUGCAUCUCGUUAUUGCGCCUCCUUCCUCGCCCUUAGACGUAGCCACCGCCCCCACUCGACGUGGUCUCCGUCCUUGUCGUCCUUUAAUCUUGUGGCACCAUCUUCGCCGUCAUGUUCGUGACCAUGCCGUUUCGUUGUAGCCUCAUUUUUGCAAUUUAUGCUAUAUCCGAGCCAGUGUCGACAAAAAUAUGGUUGAGAUAAGAAGCGUUGGGGGUGGAGGAAGAGAAGAAAUAGGAAGCAUGAGAGAAAAAAAAAAAAGAAGAAAGAAACGGAAAGGAGGGGGCGAAAGAAGAAAAACGAAAGAGCGAAAAAAAAAAUAUUUUAAUUAAUUUAUUAAAAUUCGAGUCGAAUCUACAAAAAUUAAAAUAAUGAUAUGUUUUUACAAAAAUACAAAACUGGUGAUUUUUUUAUGCAAAUUGCCCAUUAGUUUGUUACUAAUAAACUUCUAUGAAAAUUUUUAUAUCUCAUACAAUAUCUAUUUAAAUUAAUUUUUAUUUAAAUCAAUUUUAUUAACAACUAGAAAAAAAUUAUUUCUAAUAGUAUAUAAAUUAACCAAAUUAUAUUAUUUUAAAAAACUUUAUACUCAUCACAUCGUGUGGAUCUAUCACUAGUCAAUAAAUAAAUAAAUAAAUAAAUAAAUAAAUAAAAGUUGAGAUGCCUACCAUUGCUUGUGCUGGCCUUCAUAUUACCAGAGGUGACCAUCAUUGCCAGUUAGGGGUGGCAAUCUAGCUCGCUGUUUGCGAACGAGUUCAUGUUCGGUUCGAAAUGAGUUCGAGAUCGAAUCGCUCGUUUAGUAAACGAGGCAAACACGAGCUGAAUUUUUCAGCUCGUUUAAUAAACGAGCCGAACACGAGCUGGGGUCAGCUCGCUCGUUUUCGGCUCGAUAACAGCUCGAAUACAUAUAUUUUAUAUUUGUAUAAUUUAUUUAAUUUAUAUUUUUAUAUAUAAAUAAAUAAUUAUAUAUAAUAUAUAUUUUUAUUAUUUAAUUUUUAGCAAAAUAAAAAUAUAAAUGCGAGCUUAAUUAUAAAAAGACUCAUUUAUAUAUAAAGUUUUAACUAUUAGAUCAAAGCCUAAUAGAUAAGAUUUUAUAAAUUUAUUUUUUAUAUAUAUUNNNNNNNNNNNNNNNNNNNNNNNNNAGUCGCGGUGCGCCCGCCCCGACCCGGUUCACAAAUGUAACUUGUGCCACUUGGUAAGUGGCACAAGUUGUGUUAUAAAAACAUAAUCUGUGCCACUUAGUUGCCACUUACUAAGUGGCACAGGUUAUGUUUAUGUAGGCUGAAUCGGUUUUUACCGAUUCAAUACCCACAAACAUAACCUGUGCCACUUACCAAGUGGCACAGGUUAUCUUUUACCGAUUUACCCUAUAUAAACAUAACCUGUGCCACUUAGUAAGUGGCACAGGUUAUGUUUAUUAACCUGUGCCACUUACCAAGUGGCACAGGUUAUCUUUUACCGAUUUACCCUAUAUAAACAUAACCUGUGCCACUUACCAAGUGGCACAGGUUAUGUUUAUUAACCUGUGCCACUUACCAAGUGGCACAGGUUAUGUUUGUGGGUGUUGAAUCGGUAAAAACCGAUUCAGCUUACAUAAACAUAACCUGUGCCACUUACCAAGUGGCACAGGUUAAUAAACAUAACCUGUGCCACUUACCAAGUGGCAUAGGUUAUGUUUAUGUAGGCUGAAUCGGUAAAAACCGAUUCAACGCACACAAACAUAACCUGUGCCACUUGGUAAGUGGCACAGGUUAUGUUUUUAGAACAUAACUUGUGCCACUUACUAAGUGGCACAAGUUGAAUAUGUUAACCGGGUCGGGGCGGGCGCACCGCGACUGCACCGCGACUGCCCCGCCUCGGUCCCGGUAAAAACGUUUAUUAAAAAUGUGUCCCGAUAAAAGCUUUUAUUUUAAAUAAUACCCCGAUAAACGUUUUUUUCGGGAUUAAAGUGUGAAAAAGUGAAAUCAUAAGAUAUUAAAAUUCACAUAUUUAAAUCAUAGAGCACCGAAAUAAAAAUAGAACAAUAAUAGCUAAGGUUAUUAAAAAAAUAAUUUAAUUACUAUUUUAAUUUUGAUUUUUAAUGAUUUAAUAUAUAAGCUAUUUGAAUCUACGUCCUAUUAAAAAAAAAUAUAUUAAAUUUUUUUAUAAUUAUUUUAUAGUCUAUUUUUUAUUUUUAUUUUAAUGUAUUAUAAUUGAAUUAUAAAAAAUUAGAUUUCCCGUAAUUUCAUUUUUUUUUAAAUUUUUUUUAUGCCUUGUUUCUUUUUCCAUAAAUUUCAAAUGGGUUAUUUUUUUUUUUGUCGGGGAUUUUAUAGGACUUAUUUUUAUUAUUAAUUUUUCCUUUUUGUAUUUAACGGGCUGCGUAGCUAGAAGCGCGGCGCGAGAACUAGGUUGCCGAGUCUAGUUGGGCGGGGCGGGGCCAGGGCCAUUUUUGCAAAUAAUUUUUACACAGGGCCAAUUUUAAAAAAAAAAAUUGUCAGGGGGCUAUUUGCAAAAAAACCCCGUGAAAUUACAGAGGUGGUACAUGAAGUUUUUCUUUUUUUUUAAAAAAAAAAAAGAUCGUUGAUCGGAGGGCCAAGAUUCGAGGGUGGGGGGGUUCUGGGUUUAAUCAGGGCCGUCAAUCCAGGUGGGGCAGCGAAUUUCCAGUGCACCGGAUCUACUGGACCAUUGAACGCGACGAAUGCGACGCGUUGCUUUCCGCGCCACGGUUCACGGAUGACGUGGCAGACGGGGUCCUCUCGAAUUUCGUCUCCAGGACUGUUUUGCAUCGAGAUUCGUGCGCCGAGCUGUAAAGCGAGUGAUUUACUGGGCAGCUUCGGUGUGUUGUGUCUCGCACACCGUAGCAGUGAGCUCGUGCUUGGCGCGCAUCUCUUUAUUUAUUUAUUUUAUAUAUAUAUAUAUAUAUAUAUAUAUAUGUAUAUAUAUAUAUAAUUUUUUAGUUUCAAAAUAAAAAAAAUCUUUUUUAGUACAAUUCUUUUUACUUGUGUGUGUGUGUUUAUUAAAUUUUUUUCCUCAAACUCUGUUGGGUUGUUCGCAUGACCUUUUUGUUGGAUGUUUUUAAUUGGGUUUUCACUUUUUUUUUUUUCUUUUUUUUCCUCUUCUAAUUUUUAUUUAUUUANNNNNNNNNNNNNNNNNNNNNNNNNNNNNNNNNNNNNNNNNNNNNNNNNNNNNNNNNNNNNNNNNNNNNNNNNNNNNNNNNNNNNNNNNNNNNNNNNNNNNNNNNNNNNNNNNNNNNNNNNNNNNNNNNNNNNNNNNNNNNNNNNNNNNNNNNNNNNNNNNNNNNNNNNNNNNNNNNNNNNNNNNNNNNNNNNNNNNNNNNNNNNNNNNNNNNNNNNNNNNNNNNNNNNNNNNNNNNNNNNNNNNNNNNNNNNNNNNNNNNNNNNNNNNNNNNNNNNNNNNNNNNNNNNNNNNNNNNNNNNNNNNNNNNNNNNNNNNNNNNNNNNNNNNNNNNNNNNNNNNNNNNNNNNNNNNNNNNNNNNNNNNNNNNNNNNNNNNNNNNNNNNNNNNNNNNNNNNNNNNNNNNNNNNNNNNNNNNNNNNNNNNNNNNNNNNNNNNNNNNNNNNNNNNNNNNNNNNNNNNNNNNNNNNNNNNNNNNNNNNNNNNNNNNNNNNNNNNNNNNNNNNNNNNNNNNNNNNNNNNNNNNNNNNNNNNNNNNNNNNNNNNNNNNNNNNNNNNNNNNNNNNNNNNNNNNNNNNNNNNNNNNNNNNNNNNNNNNNNNNNNNNNNNNNNNNNNNNNNNNNNNNNNNNNNNNNNNNNNNNNNNNNNNNNNNNNNNNNNNNNNNNNNNNNNNNNNNNNNNNNNNNNNNNNNNNNNNNNNNNNNNNNNNNNNNNNNNNNNNNNNNNNNNNNNNNNNNNNNNNNNNNNNNNNNNNNNNNNNNNNNNNNNNNNNNNNNNNNNNNNNNNNNNNNNNNNNNNNNNNNNNNNNNNNNNNNNNNNNNNNNNNNNNNNNNNNNNNNNNNNNNNNNNNNNNNNNNNNNNNNNNNNNNNNNNNNNNNNNNNNNNNNNNNNNNNNNNNNNNNNNNNNNNNNNNNNNNNNNNNNNNNNNNNNNNNNNNNNNNNNNNNNNNNNNNNNNNNNNNNNNNNNNNNNNNNNNNNNNNNNNNNNNNNNNNNNNNNNNNNNNNNNNNNNNNNNNNNNNNNNNNNNNNNNNNNNNNNNNNNNNNNNNNNNNNNNNNNNNNNNNNNNNNNNNNNNNNNNNNNNNNNNNNNNNNNNNNNNNNNNNNNNNNNNNNNNNNNNNNNNUAUAUAUAUAUAUCCGAAGGCUUAGCUGCUAGGUGAGGCAAUUUAUACUAGAUCUCAUAAACUUUGAAAAUUUUUUAUUUAAAGUAUUGAAAAGCUUUAAUAAUAUUUCAGGUAGUUUGCCCGUAUUUUACUUGCCAGUUUUAGCUUACUGCAGGAUUUUUACCUACUAGCCUAGGAAGUUAAAUUCUAGUCUUAAUAAUUAGAGAUAGAUCCAUCACUUAUCUUAAAAGAUAGUUUUUAAGUUCGAUAAGGUUGAGAAAUAUGGCAAUUUGAUCGUUCAUAGAGUAUGGUCGGCAAUUUUAAACAGUUAAAACACUCGAAAAUUAACAUUCCAUUUACUUUAGCUUUUUAAUACUUUAAACUAAAGAUCUUCAAAAUUUAUGAGAUCUAUUACAAAUUGUCAUACCUAGCAGCUAAACCUUCGAGAUAGUAGCUUUUGUUGAAUACUCAUGUUCCCGCUAGCAUGAGUAUUAUUUUCAUAUCAUCGGUCUGAGAUGUAUAUAUAUAUAUAUAUAUAUCAUCCUCGUUUUUACAUCGUUUAUAAAAAUGACAUUACUUUUCAUUACAUUUUUUUUUUAUCAACAAGAAACUUUUUUGCAUUAUAUAUAUAUAUAUAGAGUUGAGCUAGAAUGCUAUCGAUAGCAAACAAGCUUCGUUGUCACCCAUUUGUUUUCGAUGAUGGAGCCUCCAAAUCGACGAUCGGCACCGUUGAACAUGAUCUAUACCACUUGAAGCAUCUAGAAAUUAAAUUUUAUACUUUUUCGAUAUUGUUCUCUUGUCCAUCAAGUAGACACAAAAUGAACGGCUGAAAAUGAAUAUUCUUUAAAAAGUGAUGAUAAGAAUCUUAUAAUCAAGAUCGAGCGUAUAGAUCUUGUUCUAAAUAGUUUAAAGAAUUUUCUAACCAAAAUUCAAUUGAUUUGAAUAUCUUUACACCGUUAAAUGAGAAAAUGCCUCAUAUCGACCAUUAAAAUUAUAAAAUUUGAAAUCCUUUGAUCAUUAGAUUAAUAAUGUCGAAAAGACUUAAAAUUUGAUUUCUAGAUACUUCAAAUGGUAUAGAUCAUGUUCAACGGUGCCGAUCGUUGAUUUGGAGGCUCCAUCAUAAAAAACAAAUGAAUGGCAACGGAGCUCGUUUGUUACCGAUAGUAUUCUAGCUCAACUCUCUCUCUCUCUCUCUCUCUCUCUCUCUCUAUAUAUAUAGUUCGGCUAUAGUGCUUUUAAAAGUACAAAGCAUUUGAUGGUUGUAAGUUUUUCGCUGUUAGAUUUACCCCUUUGAUCAUUUCCACAUGCUAGAUUAUACUAUUUGACCUAUCAAUCACACUUGCUAGUUCCGGCUCGUGCCUUAAUGGUGCAGGCUGCAGAGAUUGACUGCAUGAAAGCUUGAGCAUAGACAACUAAACCCCUUACUAUUUACUUACGAUGUCGCAAAAUUACAGCUGCAAAAUUUGGUAGCUUUGUGGCUUCAGAAAAGCGGCUUAUGAUAAUUGAUUUGAUUUGGAGUGUAGAGAGGGGAUGGACUUGUUUGACAUAUAUGGGAUUAGACAACUUGCAGGAAAAAAAAAACAAAAAAAAAAACUUGUUUUAGUUAUGAAAUCAGUACUUAGUACUAUAAUAUUUUCUUCUAGUAGUUAGAAAGAUUAUUCAAUUUGGAGGUCAUUAUCAUAUUAAAACAUCGAUUGCUUUGGACAUUUUGCAUCCUAUUCUUGUGUUUGGUUUAAGUAAAAUACGAGUCAACUAUUCCAGAAUGAAAGAUAUAUCAUGGACGAGCAUUUAAUGGAUGAUUUAAUUGUUUGGUGGCCUCUCAGUCUAUUGAGUGUUUUAGGUGCUUAAAUAUGCUUUUGAUGAAUAAAAUAGUUUUGUCCUCUCUUAUUUAAUUCGCAGUUGUUUAGUUGGUUGAGGGUAUCUUUUCUUUUUCUUUUCAUUAUUGAUGGAGAGUUAGCAACAAAUAGAAUACAAAACACCUAUCAUAAUAUUUAUAUAGUUUUCGAGGAAAGAGACAAAGGAGUGCGAUAUUAUAUUUUGAAGUCGACUUUGGACCUAUUUGUUUGCUUGAAUAACUUAUCUGACGUAUCUCCUCAUGUUUAAUGAAGGAUUGUGUGUGCUAUCUAUAUUGUAGGUUACAUAGUACCAGAGCUAAUUCUAAACUCCUUCGUUCUGUGAUGUCGUGAGGUUAAUUUUCCAUCUUCAACAUUUAAAUGGAUUAAAUUUUUAUAUUAUAUAAUAGUUUAAAUCCUCAUAUCUUACCUCACAUAUCAAUUUCGCGUGUUUUUCAUAUCCCUCAUGCACAUCAGUGAAAAUGUUAAUAUAUAUGUUUCUGGGCUCAUUUCCUACUAAAUUGAUUUUUUGGGUAACAGUAUGGUUCUUGUUGAGGAUAAAUGUCUAGGAGUAAAGAGUUUGAACUUAGGUCUCGGCUUGUCGACACAAACAAAAUGGCAUUGAACCACAUUUAGAAGCGAGCAUAAGGCGGCGAUCGAAACAGAAAGGAACUAAAAUAAACCGCUGCCGAUCGAUGUUUUUGACCCUCGAAAAGUUCUGUUCAUGAUAAAAUUUCUCACAUUGUGAAUGAAAUCAUCAUUCAUUCGCUAACAUGCAACUCUUGUGCAUCAUUUUGUUGGUUGCUGCUGCAGCACUGCAGGAGGGACGACAACCCCGCCGAGCACCAACACCCCAUUUGCGACGCCGCCACCUCCGAUCUUUGGCGGCGGCGGUUUCGGCGGGCUGACUCCGCCAUCGGGCUUUGACUCAUCCGUGCCAAACUCGUCCUUCUCGAACGCUGGUUCUUUCGCCGCCUCUCACCUUCUUACUCUCUCCCAUUUAGCUUGCUUCUGUUUCCUCCUUGUCUUGUUUUGAUGGUGUAGACUAAAGGUUGUGUAGAACACACUUAUUUUUUUNUGGGGGGGGGGGGGGUAAGAGAAAACUACUGCCACAAUUUUGUUUGAGGAAAAAAAAAGAAAAAAGAAAAAGCAAAGAACAAAAUUUGCCUGUUGUAAUUUAACAUGUGUAGGAUAGAGUGUGGGGUAGUUCAGUAGUUGCUUGUAGAAAUUGGUAAUGGGAGUGUUAUAUUCAUUGUUUUGUUUAUUUUAGCUAAAGCCCAUGUAGUUGUUGCUCUCUUUUGUACUACUCAAUGUUGUUAUCAAAUGCUUUGAAUAGAGAAUUUAGAUGUAUUCACACCAGUGCUCUCUUAUUAGGUGAUUUAAAGAUUACUAAUAAACUGAUUUUUUUUUUUUUGGUUAAUUUCAUACAGGUCCUUGCAGACAUAGUGAAUUGAACUUUCAUAUGUUGUCUCUGAAAAAUUUUAAUAUUUUCAAAUAUCCCUCUGUUAGAAUUCGUUAGAAAACUUUAAUUAAUUAUAGGUAAAUGCUUUAUUCUAGUUAAUUUAUGAGAUAACUUGACAUUUUUAUCCCUUUUAUAUUAUACUGUUGUAGUUUUUGAAGGGACAUUUGUGAUGGCAAAAUUGACAUUUCACUUAAAAUAUAAACAGUUCUAUAACGGUAACAAAUCAGAGAGAUAUAUUUGAAAAUAUUAGAAUUUUUGUAGGAACAAUAUAUAAAAGUUGAACUUUGUAGGGACAUUCGUAAUUCACUAUAUUUGCAAGAACAUGAAUGCAUUUAACCCUUUUUUCAAAUAUCUCUCUCUCUCCUUUUUGUUGUCUCAAAUCUCAAUUGUGCCUGAUUUUUUUUUAAUAUUUUAUUUAUGUAUUUAUUUUUACAAUUUAAACAGAGAUCUCAAUUAGAUAAAAUGUGGUCACCUGACACACCUAGCAAGUUUAAACAGAGAUUUAAACUGAGCUAUUCGUUUCAUUUUCUUGUGAAAAGCUUCAAAUGAGAAACUGAAACUACUAAUACUAGAGCUUCAUGUCUGGGUAUAGUUUAUUCGCGAAUAAUAUUUGAAUCAUUCUCCGCAUUCAUAACUUUCAUAAAGAUUUCACAAAAAUCACUGAAAAACCAAAUGAAAAGAUCAUAGAUUCAACAAGCAGAAGCCACUGCUUCAAUUUCAAUCAAGCAAAAUCACAAACAAAUAAAGUUAGUACAAGCCCUACUUUAUUAAGCUAUAGUGCUAGUACUAGUGCUAGUACUUUUUUUUUUUUCUCUUUUUUGAUCGAAUUUGUAAAGAUGCCCUUCCCAACCAAUACUGUAUAUAUAAGAGAACAAUCACAAUAGUUAUAAAUCAUCUUAUUUAUUAUAUAUUCAACAAAAAUUGUAGCCACAAUGAGACAGUAGGGGUCAAAAAUCACCAGCAAAAAUAGAAUUUAAAAAAAAAAGCUAUUAUCUUUUAUCAUUAACUGAAAAAUGUAACCUUUUAUUGACUUGAAGAUGGCAAUUACUCAUCUAACCAGCGUGAAAAAUAUGGUUUAUGAAACCCUAACCAGCCCUAAUAGGGGCAUUUAUACAUACAUAGCAAAUAAAUAAGAUUCCUAAUUCUAUGAACUACUACUAAAUACCUGAUCAGAAUUACCCACAAUGGAAGAGAGAGAGAAAAAAUUGGCGAGGCGUCGCGUCAUCAGGACGCGAAUGCAUCGACAUCUCCGUCUCCGGACGCUGACGAAUUCGCCAUUUCUUUCUCGGUUUCGCCUUCGCUUUGCAGCUGGUUCUCGGACUUCUUCCGUCGCCCUCCUACGCCAGGUUUCCUCUGGUGCUCUAAAGAAGGAAAAAAAGAAGGGAACACAAGAUUGUUAGAAUCUAGUACAAUAGCCUCGAGAUCGAGAUCCAGAUCGAGAUCGAUUGAUGUCAAAGAUUCUCAGUUUACUCUUGUUGUUUAUGGCGCUGCGCGUCAUCGCCAAGAAAUCCUCCCACUUGUAGCUCCUCAGCUCUUCUUUUUCCUCCUCCGAGAGCUCGAAGUUGGGCUCCCUCCCGCACAUAAAAGCCGCUCUUUGCGUAUAAACAAGUUUCAAAUUCAAGAUUAGGCCGUUACGCACGCACGACAAACUUUACAAUCAUCAUCUAGUUUACAUAGUAAAAAAAAAAAAAAAACAAUUUUACUGGUGCGUAAGUAAAUAAGCAUACACAGAAUGAAUGAAGUAGAUACUCCAAUUUCUUUGUCGGAAAACGAAAGCCAAAGCUAUUGACUCAAAAAAUGACGCCACUUGAAAACCGAAAGAAGAAAUAAUAACUCAUCUGCUUGCGCAGAAAAAUAACACUACUAAAGUUCAUCUGAUACGUAUUAAGAUCAUCUCAAGUUAGAGAAGGAGAGAGAGUGAGAAACCUUGCAUUAAGCUUAAGGGUUCUAAUCAUGUUUAUCAUGUAAAAUUUCCAUCAGAAAACUCAAAUUACUCGACGAAAUGAGUAAUACUAGCAAUAUCAUGUCAUUUCCUACAAAAGAUUCUAUUCAAAUCACUCUCUCUCUCUCUCUCUCUCUCUCUCUCUCUCUCUACCGUGCAUAUAAGAGAUGCUUUACAAGUUCAUAUAUUUGGUGAUGCUCAGCACAUAACACAUCUCUAUCUAACUCAUCUUAAGUAGUUUCAUGGAGAACUUCAUAAGAUUCUUCUCUCUUCUGGAAGUGCUUUUCCAGCAAAACUUUUUUCGACUGACUCUUAGUUAUUGCAAAAAAAAAAAAAAAAAAAAAAACCUCCUAUGAUAGUUGCAUUGCUUAAACACUUUUAUUGUUUCAUAUUUCUAAAAGUGUCUACGAACUACGAGCUCAAGAGAAGUUUCACGCGAUAUUUUAUGAAAAUGUUAUAACACUUCAAUCUAUAAGCCCUGAUACUGUUAAAACGAAGAAAAGGAAAGAUCAACAUAGAUUUAGUCAUAUAUCAGCUAAAAUAAUGUAAAAAAAACUUUGGUAAAAACAUACAGAACCAAUGGUUCAUGUUGAGUCGACUACCCAACCUUUCAAUUUGUUUCAUUUAAGUUGGUCAACAACACUUUGACUUCAAAAUUUAAACUAAUUGUUUACUUUAAUGAAUUUAUAAUUGCGAGAAUUGUAUAAGAUAUUCUGACUAAACAUGUAAAGACAAAAGGAUGCAUCCAAAUUUUGAAGUCAAAGUGCCGUUGACUGAUUCAAAUCAAACAAAUCGAAACGAUGGGUAGGAAAAUCAAAAUUUUGAAAGGUUGAAUAGUCGACUCAAGAUGGUUUAUAGUUCAUGUAAAUUUUAUUCGUUUUACCAAGUAAUUUUCACUUAUUUGGCCUUUCCUUCACCUUGAAAAAUCUUUUCAAGAGCUCAUUGAAUUAAAAAUUUCUAUAAAUCCAUGUCCAGAAUAUCGUCCUUUUGUGCAAUUACUAACCGGUACAAACUUUCAACUCGAUUUCACAGGAAUCUAGUUAAAAAUAUAAACUAGUUUAUGAUUUUGCUCAGCUUUACUAUGCUGCAUUAAACUAAUGUAGUUUCAGCAUUCUCCCCUCAAACCUCAUGGUCAUCUUUCUAUGAUAUUUGAUUAAGUUAUUAUAUUCCGCAAAUUCUCCAGAUGCAUCUUAACAACAGUGUUCAUGCUGGGAUAUGUGAGAAACUAAAACUGAAUACUUGAAGGAGAUGCGGCGAAUAUACCUGUCAUAUAGUCGAGCGGCUUCCUCUUGGGAUCCUACGGUACCCAAGUGAAUUUGUUUCUUGUCGACUUUAAUAGCUGCUUGCCAUUUCAUGUUCUUGAAAUAGACACCCCUCAUUAUGCACGGCUCAUGGUCGUCGUAGUGCUUUCUCCUGUGUCGCUUGCGCCUUUUAAUUUCUUUACCUGCAGAUCAAAGCACAGAAAGAAAACCAAAGAUACAGCGGUUCAAUGGACCCGAAAAGAAACACCUUAUUGACCAGAAAAUGUCAAAUCCCGAUGUGUCGAGCCCUUUUUCCCUUUUCUUUUCUUUUUCCUUAAGAGCCCUACCAUCAUGCUUUUACUCUGCCAUACUGAAAGUUACAGAGCUUCGUUUACGAAUUAUUCCACAUAGAUUUAGAUAUGUUUCACAUAAACACGAAAUGUAAUAUAAAUUUCCCCUAUGUAAGUCACAACUGGGACUGUCACUUCCAGUACACAUAUCUACUUUCUCCCAGACCCAAGUUUCAGAGAUUUGAUUUUUGUCUCUCUUAUGGACUAAUAUAGAAUUCAGCAGUUUCGGUGAAGUUCCGGCCAAAGAAAACUAAAUAACUAAAUAAAGAUAAAUGCAUAAUAACUGAUAAAGUACUCAUAUCCCAUGUCCAUAGUAAAGAGAGAAAAAAAAAACCUCUUUUGAAAUGACGGAUCUGCUGCUUUGGAACUGAGAAAAAUGUCCCAUGUGCUAAAGCUUUAUGCUUCAUUUUCAAAAUUUUAAACUAAAAUUCCUCCUAAAAUAUGACUCAAAUUGACUAAACUCAUGAAACUGACUGCAAGCAUAUUAUUUGCUAGCAGAACGGCCGAAAUAUAUUGAAACUCGUGAACUUGCUGGAAUUGCCGGAACCAUUAAAGAUGCAUGAAACUGGUUGAAAAUAGCUGAACCGGAAACUUUUUUGUGUUUUCGGAUUGACCUUUGUUCAAACCAAUCUGAUUUGAGCAAAAUAAGUCAGUUUAGACCGGAAAUACAGACCUUGCUCCGAUCAAAUCACUCGUCAAAUAGCAAGUCGUUCAUGUGAUAUGAAACUCUCGUAUUACUAUCUCUACGAUUCCGCAGCCAAUGAUUAUAGAUGCACAAAAACUAUACAGCAGGAAUCAACUGCACAAUCAAUUCAAGUAGCAAAUUUAAGAAAAAACCAACCAGGAUAGUAGUGAUUUAGCUCUUCCUUUGGGGAGUCGGAAGUAGCUGCAUUGGAGGACUCAGGUACUGAUUCAGAAUUGCUUUCCUGCAGGGUAAUACCGAGCCAACAUAUCAAAUCAUCAAAGUUUUCAGUACACAACCAAGAAGAUAAGAUUUUGUAGAAGAAUUAAACGAACGCACUACUAAGAAUUAAGAAUAAUCCAAUAGAGAUGAUACACCUACGGUGCAUGAACAUGAAAGUGGAGCUUUUCCAUUGAAAAAAAUUACGGUAAUUAGAAAGCGAAACAUUUAUCAUGGCAAACAUUUAUGCCGAAACAUCUUGUUCAGUAUAUCUCUUCUGUUUACUCAAGGGCCUGAUAAUAACUGUUGGAUGAGUAGAUGUCUACAAAGGUAUAGUGUAUAUGGCCUUCAAGUCAUUUUCUCACAACAAGACAAAUCAUCUUGUCGGUGGAAUGCAUUAUGCUAAAAUAUUAUACUGCGGAGACCAUGUGAUGGGGCUCAAAGCAAACUCCUAAGGUGCCAUCACAAAAAUAAAAAUAAAAUUGUGUACCAUAUAAGUUAUUAUUGGAGAAGUUGGUCGAACAGCCAUACAGAUUCUCACCGGCAUUUGUGUAUCCAACUUAAUUGGAGGCAAGGGAUGCACACUGCUCGACUUAACAUGUAAAGUAGAAUUCUCCACCAUUUUUUCAUCCUCGUUGUGCUUAGGAAGAUCUACCGCAAAUAAAUUUUUAACUACAAAUAAAAUAAAAUGAGGAGAAAUUGAUAAGUCCAGCCGCUAAAAAAAAUACGGAUUAAGAAAUGAGAACAAAUUUCUACAAAGCAGAUAAAGAUGUAAACAAAUAAAAGAACGAAGAACGAUCAAUAUUUCAUUGAUCUCUUGAAACAAGGUCAAUCACACAUAUAUCCUUCCAAAUUUUAAAAUUUCAAAUUCUAAAUUUAAAACUUGGCAUAUUUGUGCCCCUCAUUUGACUGGUGUCGCUGUUGAAAUCUCCUUCACACCCUUUCAAACAUGACACUUCAAACAUUUUUAACGGAAGUUUUGCUGUACGGAGAUUAGGGUCUACAAUUCAAAUGGUACGACACGAAAGAUAAAGUAGAGGUAAUAGAAACUAAUUGCGAAUAGAAACCUGCUAGAGAUAGAAAUAUAUGCGAGGGAGAAUUGCGUUCACUUCCAAAAUUUAAAAGGCAAAAGAUGCUAGUAUUAGUUUUAGAGAGAGAACCAUGCAAACAUACUCUUACGAGGAUAUCUAUCUAAUUAUGCUUUUCUAAAUGGCAAAUAACAAAUCAAACUAAUUGUGUCGAAGCAUGCCCAUCAGCAUUAAAUUUCCAUGCAAAAGGCAAGGGAAGAUUUACUAACAUCAUGCAAUAAGUUGAUGUUGCCACAAAAAACAAUAUAAAGAGAAGAAAAUUUUGGUGAAAGAUGUAUAUAGCAAUUAUAGUGCAAAAAGAAUCGGCAGCAACGUCACAAUAAAAGAGAGAGGUAUUACCGAAAGAAUACCCCAGAAGUCGGCGCCUCCUUAAGCUAACCAUGAUCAGCUUCUAACUUCACUACGCAAAUGAUUGAAUAGCCAUUUCAUGAGAAAAUAGAAAAAUCUCAAUAAACAAAUAGAGAAUAAAAAUAACGACAUCAGAAUCAUUCACACAAUGAGAUAUUGCACACACAAAAGGCAGGGGCGAAUAGAUAUAAUCUGCUACUUUAGAUGGCACGAAGUGACAAAACAAUAAUCCUACAGACUUCAAUAUUGAAACGGAGUAGUUUAUCCUUUUUCUGAUGAUCCGAUAAAAAACAGGAUUAUGUAUAAAGAAAGGAAAAUAAUGGCCGAAAGAUGAUCCGAUAAUAUGUCGCAUUUUUCCUGUCUAUCAUCCUUCGCCAAUGUAACAAAGUUCAAACUACAAUAACUUUAACAACUAGUCGAUAAAAACAGUUUUUUUCCUCCAUUUGCAGGACGAAAAUAACCCAGUAAUCACUUUAUGCGCAGAUAGCAUAUUUCUAGACAAAUAGAAGCAGCAUUUAAUCUGAAUUAACAACUAGUAAAUGAAAGUAGCAUUUUUUUUUUCCGAUUUAGUAAUUGUUGAUAGAACGUCAGCGUCCCUUUCUUGCUGAUUGUGAAUCAGUAUUCAUAGCUAUAAUGCAGUGACAUGGAAAAGGGAUACAAAUUACAAACACAGUACCGACGUCACGACUAUAAACAUAAAGACACUGCUUGGAUGCCAAUAAAGAUGAAAAAGAACGCCGUGAAGAUAUAAAAAGGUAUCAUGAAUAGCGGCAUAACUUUCUCUGAAUGUGGCAAUGAAGAGGAACAGAAUGGCAUUGAAUAAACAUCGCCAUGUUUCUUUUUUUAACUAAAAUUAUAAGCGUUGUCUGUUGGGAAGAAGAGCAAAGGAUGCGAAAACCCUUCUGGAAAUCAAUUACUGACAAGUUCCUUCCAAACAGUUUAAUACGAACAAAUAUCACCUUUCAUCAUUAGAUUCCAUAUUCAAUAAUGAUUUCCUCAACACUGCAUAGUUUCCAUGCUAUAUUAAAACACAAAUUGUAGCAUCUAAUUACUGCAAUUUUCACUGUAACAAAUCUAUGUGAUGACUCAGUUGGCCUCUCAACUAAAAAAAAGUAGAUAACCCAAUUCACAAAGAUCAUUUACCACCUAAAUUUGCACCAAUAUUUAAUUUAUCAAGCAUCAUAUUCAUACACAAAAAAAAAAAAAAAAAAAUCCCCCAAAAUAAAUAAAGAAAUAAAUAAACCUCACAAAAUCCAUCAAUACACCAACCCCUCAGAACAAUUUUUUUUUUUAAAUUAACUAAAGUUGGCAAAACUCCUAAGCCCAUAAAACCCAAUCCACCACCUAAAAUUUCAGAAACAAGCACAUAAUCUCAAUUCCAAACAUCCUAAGACCAAAAUUCCAAGAACACAUCAACAAACCCCCACCACCCAAUCACUCAAAUCAAAUUCCCCACCCCCUCUCCCCCCCAAAACCACCCAAUUCUAACACCUACCCACCUCCCCAAAACCCCCAAAGAGCCCCAAAAACCCAUGCUCAGGGGAUCAAAACAAGCAUAUGUAUAAGAAGAAACAAGAAAAACAAAAAAGAAAAAAGAAAAAAAGAGGAAAAACCCAAGUCAAAGGAUCCUCACCAUACCAAGGGGGUGGUGGAGGAGAUGGAUAUUAGAGGCACACCACCCAGGGUUGAUGGGGCCACAAGAGGAGGAAGAAGAAGAAGAAGUUGGCAGAGGAGGAGGUAGAAGAAGAAGAAGAAGAAGAAGAAGAAGAGGAGGUUGGUUCACAUCUACCACCUUUCUCUCUCUCUCUCUCUCUCUCUCUCUCUCUCUAAAUAUUAUUGUUAUUAUUAUUAUUGGUAUUGUUAUUAUUGUUUCGUUUAUUUAUUUAUUUAUUUAUGUGUAGGUGUGUGUGUGUAUGUACUGUGUGAGGGGGUUGAAGAGAUUGGGGGGAACGUAUGCUUGGUGUGGGCUACUAUUAUUAUCUAUCUCAUGGUCAAGUUCCUAAAAUGCCCCUCGGCAAUUUGGAAAAUAUCUGCAAGCCUUAGUAGGUGGUGUUUGAGGUUGAAAUUACCAAAAUGCCCCUGAUUUUGUCAAUUUUUCUGUUCCCAUUUUUAGGAGGGGAGUUAAAAAUUUAGGAGGGAAAAAAAAGGACAAUAAAAUUAAUUAAUAAUUUUGGUUAUUUAUAGAAUGUUAAUUGUUACUGAAAUUGAAAUUUCGGUCUGCCGAAAAGAGUCAGGCUACUAUGCUAUUCAUACCACCAAAACACUCGGUGCUAUCAAGUUUUUCAUCGUUAAAUUUAUUUCUUUCAUUAUUUCUGUCUGUUAGAUUUUAUUAUUUAACCAACUAACGACUCAGUUCUAAAGGGAUCAAUAUCAUUAUAAUUGCAUAUUUUUUUUUAUCUAAGAGUCGAAAAUCUAAUAAUAUAGUAACCUAGUUCUUGCUGAAAAAUAAGUAAAGCCAUUAAGAUUUAUUAUUAUUACUAUUAUUAAAUUUAAUGUAUUUUUUGUUGUGUUCAAGAUAAAUAAAAAUUGAAAAGGUGUUAACAAAAAUUUAAUUUAGUAAAUUUUGCGGUUUAAAUUUUUUGGAUGUAUAUUUUCGCCGGUGCAGUAUGAAUUUUUGUUUGGUUGACUUUAUUUUUUUUGUUGAUGAUUUCUCCAAAAUUAGUAGUCAAGAAAAAAUUUUCGCGGAAUAAUCUUUCAACCAGCGGUUCAACUACCGAGUAAAAUGACGUCAACAUAUCAUCACAAAUAUUUAAUUUUUAUUUUUUAUACUACAUAUAAUAAACAAAUAUAUCAUAACAAUAGUUUUCUACAUUAUUUUUAAUUAUUAUUAUAUUACAUAUAAUUAAAAGUAUAUUCAAAGUGCAGAUUAUUAAAAAAAACUAAAACUAAUACAUAUUUCUAAUUAAUUAUUAAAAUAUAAAAUAAAAGAGAAAUCUGAUCUAAGUAUAUUUUAAGUCAGUUUGCUUUUCUGAGUUUGAACCGAAUUGAUUAAGCACAGGGUCGCAGCCCGACCAGUUCGACUGGCCGAUUUGAUUUGAAUUUUAAAAUAUUGAGUAAACCAAAUCAAAACAAUCUGAACUAUGUCUAUCUCUAAGGGUGUGCCCGGUUUGCCAUAAAAUGUAUCGAAAAUUACUUUUCGACUUGAAAAUUUAUUUUUCGUGUGUUUAUUUAGCCGUAAAAAAAUUAUUUUGUAAAAUUAUUUUAAAUAGAUUUGAGAAAAACUGAGCAUUUUGACAUAAAACGAAAACUCAAGCCGCAUAAAAACUUUUUUCAUUCAUUCAUUUUUUUUUUUCACUGGACUAAACAAAUAUGAUUUUUUUUUUCCCUUUCAACCAAAUAAACAUUGAGAAAAAAAUUACUUUUAUUUUUAAACGACAAACUAAACAUUACUACAAAAUGUGAAACAUUUUUUUUCUACAGAAAAUAUUUCUUUACGAAAAAUUAUUUUUUACGAUUUUACAUACAACCAAACACCCAAACAGAAGAAGGGUGAGGGGCAAAAUUGUCAUUUCACACACAAAACCCCGCCUAGAUAGUGAGGGGGCAGUUUAGUAAAUACGCAAGGGCGUCAGGGGUAAUACGGUAAUUUCGCAAGUAGGGUUUUUUCAUCGGUCUUGGGUGGUAAAGAGGCGUAGGCGGCAGCAGGCAGGCACCGACGGAGAGUGGGGGGUGGUGGUUGGGAUGGAAGGAAAAGGUGGUGGACACAAGAAUUAGAGAGGUGGUCAUGUUUUGUAUGGAUAACGAAAUUAUUCCCUAGACUCGGUGCAUCCCUUCAAAUCAUGCACCAAUUAUUUUUUUUUUUUCUUUUCUUUUUUAACAAAUGUUUUGUUUGGCAAGUUAAUUACUACUUAUUAUGGAGUAGAGCUACUAUCGAUUUAAACUUAUUUCUAAUUAUAUUUUAAUUAAGUUUGGAUUUAUUGUUCCAAUAUAUACUAUCGGAAGUAUAGAGAAUUUGGUGCUUCCGACUUUUGGCCCUUAGAUUAAUCUUUUUGAUCAUUUUUAACCUUUGGAUUAAUACUAUUACCCUGUCGGGACAACUCAACCCCAGGAGUACUACUCAAUCUUAGGGAGGGAGACCGCAAUCAUCCCAACCGUACAAUUCUCGAUCCAAGGGUCAAAAAGUCGGAAGCAUCAAAUCCUCUAUACUUCCGAUAGCAUAGAGCUAGCAUAGUAGCUCUGCAAGUAACUUAUGAUUAUGGUACUAAACAAAAAAAUGGCGCUAUAUUGAAAUUCUUCUAUUAGCUUUUCUUUACAACUGUAUUAGAAAUAUAUUCUCUCAAAUAAUAAUAAAAAAAAUUAAAUUACAAAAAAAAAUUUAUAAAUAUCAAUUUUUUUUUACUUUUCCUUCAUAACUUUUAAAAAUCUACGUUUUACUCCCUCAAUAUUUCAAAUUAUUAUAUUUAUCGUCCCUACGUCAAGGUUCCAUUACUAUUCUGUUUAUUUUCUUAUAAUUUAUAUCGAAAAUUACCUUCAAAAUAACAGAAAUAUAUAUUUUUUUUCUUAUAGAAGAAGUAAGAGUAAUUUAGUCAUUUUACCCUCUCCAUUAACGUCGUACUCCCCUAAAAAUAUUUCUGAAAUUUAAAGAGGGAAAAAUAUAAAUUUUUUAAAGUCAAGGAGGAAAAGUAAAAAAAAAUAGGUAUUUACAGAGAAUUUUUUUAUAAUUUAGCUAUUAAAAAAAUUAUAUCAGAUAUGUGAACCGAAGCUUCUACAUUUGGGUCUCAAAAUUUUAUGUAUGCUAUUUUUUCGCCGUAUCUAUAUAACUCAAUAACUCAUGCACCAUUUUUAAAUACUCGAAAAUUAAUACUUUUCAUAAGUUUGAUUAAAAUUGGGAUUGCUUGAUCCUAUCGUAAGAUGCAGUACUAUUCGAUACAUUAAUUAUUUUUGAAUAAGCUACUAAGAAAAGUGUUAUACAAUCGUAAAAGAAAUGUGAACUGAAGCUUCUAUUUUUAGGCCUCAAAAUUUUAUUUGUGCUUGUUUUCUGAUGUAUCUGUUCAACUUAUUCAUCAUUUUUAAAUAUUUGGUACUUUAUUUAUUCAUAAAUUUAAGUAAAAUUUAGGGUUUGUUUACUCCUAUUGUAAGUAUACUAAAAAAAAAACACUAUAUUGAAAUUCUUUUGUUAGAUUUUCUUUACAAUUGUAUAAAAAAUGUGUGUUGGAGCUUCUACUUUGACCAUAAAAAUUUAAAUUUUUAUUUGGUUAUUAAUAAUUUUCUCAACAUUUGGUUAAAAUUUAGGGCAAAUUUAAUCCUAUCGAAAGAUACAGUACUAUUCGAUAAAUUAUUACUUUUGGAUAGGCUACUAAGAAAAGCGCUAUAUUAAAAUUCUUUCAUUAAUUUUUUUUUGGGAAAACUUCAAAAACCCCCCCUGUGGUUUCAUAGUUUCUCACUUUGCCACCCUGUGGUUUAAAAUGUAUCAAUUUGCUCCCUGUGGUUUUGUUUUUCUUUUUUUUUUAUCAAUUUCAUUAUUUUUUUUUCCUUAAAUCAGUAAUAAAGUUAAAAUUAAAGGGUACUAAAGUGAAUAUUUGAUAAAUCUAGAUGGGUAUCUGAAGUUUUUUUGUAUAUAAUUUAACGAAAUAUUAAAGAAAAAGCUACCAAAAAGAUAAAAACGAAACCACAGGGGGGCAAAUUGAUAUACUUUAAACCACAGGGAGGCAAAGUGAGAAACUACGAAACCACAGGGGGGUUUUUUGAAGUUUUUUCUUUUUUUUUUAUCAACUAUAUUAGAAAUGUGAAUUGGAGCUUCUAAAUUUAGGCUUCCAAAUUUUAUUUAUUCUGUUUUUUCAGUGUAUCAGUGUAACACCUGUACCAUUUUUAAUUAUUUUUAUAAAUUUUUAAUUAAAAUUUGGAGCCUAUUUGAUGAUCACAUCAUAAGGUACAGUACUAUUCCAUAAAUUAAUUCCUUUUGAGUAAGGUACUAAGAUUGAAAAUCACUAUAUUAAAAUUCUUUUAUUAGCUUUUUGAUAUUUAUAACUGCAUUGGAAAUGUGAACCGGAGCUUCUGCAUUUAGGUUUCAAAUUUUUAUUUAUUCUUUUUUUUUUUUCCGGUAUAUCCGUAUAACUCAUGUAUCUUUUCGAAAUAUUUGAUAAUUAGUUAUUUUUGACCCAGCCUAUUUAUCCGAUCAUAAGAUACAGAACUAUUCGAUAAAUUACUUAUGAAGUAGGGCUGCUAAGAAAAGCAUUAUAUUGAAACUCUUUUGUUAGUUUUUCUUUAUAACUGUAUUAGAAAUGUACAUUGGAGCCUCUGCAUUCGGCUUUACUACACUGAAAUGUUUAGGGUUUAGAAACUUUAUUUUCGAGCGACGAUAUUGAAAAGUAGAAGCAUAAGUGGCACCAAACAAGCGCUUAGAGAUUAGUGUGGCCCACUGUAAUGUGUGGUUUUACUUUAGUAAAAUCCAAAAAACUCAAAUGAGAGCUUUCCCUCAUGACAAAGGACUCAGUUACUUUCAAGUUUCAACUUCACAUCACAAUAGAAAGGGCAAAUUACGUCUUUGGCCCUCAAACUAUGAGGCGUUUGACACUUCGGUUCUCAAAUUUUAAUUCGUUAUAACUUUUACCUCGAAUUUUCUAAAUUGUGACAAUCAAUCAAGUUCGAAAAUACAAUUUAGUCGGCUCAAUAUUGACGAGUUGUCGAUAUAAAAAGUGAUGCAGCAUCUUAAUUAUUAUUGCUACAUCACUUUUAUAUUAUCAAUUGUCAACAUUUAGUCAAGUAACCUGGGCUGUGGGACUUAAUUGUAACAAUUCAGAAAGUUCGACAAGAGAAUUUAAAUUAUAAUGAAUUAAAGUUUGAGUACUAUUUUGUCAUGCGCCUCAUAGUUUGAGGACCAAAAAUGUAAUUUACCCUAACAGAAAUUUAACAUCCUUUGCAGGAGAUUUUUCAUCUAAACGUAAAAUUAGUCUAGUUCCUACUUAUACAUAAGCUUGUAUCUAUUCCUGAAAUAAGCAGUUCUUAUUUAUAUCCGAACCAAACGCAGCCUUAAAGUUUUAACUUACAGAAUAUUACGUUAGCGUGGAAUUUCUGAUAAAAAAAAAAAGGAGGAGGAAAUAACUACAGUUCCAAAAACUAUUGACUCCACAAUGGGUAAUAGCAAAAUCAAGAGAAAAAGAUAAAAAAUAUAUAUAUAUAAAAAAUUUAAACUAUAAUUUUAAUAGUUAUAAUUUUUUUUUUUUAUCAUGUUAUGUGUUAGUGUGGAGUUUCUAGUAAACAAAUAAAAAAGGGAGAUAAACGCAGCUUCAAAACUAUCAUUUUGCUAUCAAAUAAACAGCAUUAAUGAAAAAUUAAUUUUCACUUAAUCUAUCAUUCAACUAAAAAUCAUUUUUAAUCAGAAAAAUAGUUAUAAACAAACAAAUAGGCCAUUAUAUAUGUUUAAAACAAAUUCUUUUGGAAACAAUAAAAAUGAGCAUUAAUAGGGCCAAAAAAAAGUUUCUUGCUUCUCAUUGCGCGAUCAAUUUGUUAAUCGUCUAAUGAGCAUCGAAACAACCGUUGAGUGCGAAAAAUAAACAAAAAAAACACUAAAUAUUUCUCUCGCGUGAGAACUAUGUGCUCAUCUUGUCUGGAUUUUGAAACAGCUUCUCUAUAUAUUUUAAUAAUUAGUUAUUUGGCAUGUAAAAAAUCUAAAGUAUUUCUUAUUUUUCUUUAGGACAAAAUUGACUGAAUUUAUGGAAAGUUGUAGCUCUAAUUAUUUAAAAAGUGUUGCUACAUAUAUGCUAUAAGGUAUCCGAUAAUAUUAUUGAUGAGAUCACAUUAUUGUUAUUGUUAUUAAAUCCUAAAUGCUAUGUUUAAGUCCUAAAUAUAUUAUCAUUAAUCCUAAAUACCAUAAUUAAAUACUAAAUCGUAGAUCAUAAACCCUAUAAUUGUAGGAUGCCAAUGAUGGAUCUUUAUGGCAUAUAAAAACAACAAUAACUUAAAUAUAUACCAAAAUUCAUGAUUAUAUAUAAAACAAUAAAAUAAAUAAUUCACAGAGCGUCAUAAAAAAGAAAAUUCUUGAUCAAUCAGUAGAAGCGAGAAGUCCGGUUAUAUAUAAUCUGAACGUCACGAACUGAACUCGAGUAAUUUGAUUUCUCCUCCUAUCUCAUGCACUGUCCCGUAUGAUGUGAAAUCGAUGGUAAAUCUUCACUAGAAUGCGUAUAAAAAAAUGACAGGACCAAUACCCUCUUGAUAUAGAGUCUAAAUUGACUUUACAUCAAAGUCUGAUUAGGAUUCUAUUUAAUUUAAAUAGAUAAAAAAGAAAUAAAAUAUACCAUAUCAAGUAGUUUUAUAUCUAUUAGAAUUGACUUUUAUAACAAAUUUAAAUUUAAAUAUAAUUAAUUGGCCAUAUUUAUCGAAAUCCUAACAAGCCAAUACAUCAACCACACUCUUGAGUGCAUAUAAAUACGAAACCCAAAGCAUUUCACUUUUUUGAAUGGUUCUAUCAAGCAACAUUACUGUAUACCCUAGUCCACCUAUAAUUAAUAAAAAAAAAUUACUCAUGAAGAAAAUAAAAUUUUUUUAAAAAAAAAUUCCCUGUUUGGGAGAUAUUUGAGAUGGACACAGUUAUAAAUACAGUAGUUGUAAUUAUCUAUAUAUUGUUUGAUUUGAUGUAAUAGAAAGUACAACAUCUAUAAAUAUUUUAUUUGGUUAUAUGCGGCUGACAAAUGCAUUUACACAAUUUUAUCAUUUUAUAUAUAAGUAUAUAUAUAAAAAAUUAUUAUUUCCUCUCUUGGUUUAACGUUGCUCUCUCCAACUGAUGCAGUUGGAAUUACAUACAUUUGAAGCCUCCUCGUGCAGUUUCAACUGAAGUAGCUGAAUUCAAAUACAUAAAAUCAAAUGUAGGAUAUAAAUUUGUAUGCACUACGUGAAACGAAAGUGCCCCUCCUCCUAAUUUGAAGGGCAAUUUUGUUCCAUGUAACUAUAAAUACAAUAUAGUUAGAUAUGUAUAAAGUUAAAAAUAUAGUAUUUACAACCACAUGUGUCUUGUUUUGUUGUAUAUAUUGAAAAUACUACAAUUAUAUGUUAUUUGUUCGAUUGCAUGCAAGUGAAAGAUAUAUUUAUAAAAUUUUAUCACUUUGUAUAUGAGAGGAUGGGAUUACUCCUAUAUAAAAAACUUUUAAUUUUUUUUAAUUUAUAAGGUGAUUACGAAGAUAAACUUAUAUUUUGUUUAGAGUUGCAUUUUUCGACUGUUUAAAGUUGGAAUUGCGGCCAAUUCAAGCUCGUAUUGUUCCGGCAGUUGAAUUUAAUGCAUCAUUUCAAAUAUUGGAUUAGAGACUGCGUGAAGUUAUCAUUGCGAUGUAAUUGUAACUAUAUGCAGCCAAACAUUUGCUCCAUAUAAGGGUUGGUUUGGUUCAUCGUAAAAUCGUGAAAGAAAAUUUCAGCGAAAAAUAGUUUUAUGCUUUGUGGUGUUUGAUUUGUAGAAAAAAAUAAUUUUGCAUCAACUUUUGUUUGGUUGGAAGGAAAAGAAUCCAUAUUUGUCUGGUUUGGUGAAAAAAAUAAAUAAAAAAAAUUUUAUGCAGCUUGAGUUUUUAUUUUCCAUCGAAAAAUAGCGAAGAACGAAAAUUUCAAUUUUUCUCCAAGUCCGGAAAAAGAUUUUUACAGGAAAAAAAAAAAGGUUCUACGUCAAGCCAAAUAAGGGUAUGUUUGGUUAAAUAUAAAAAUGGGUGGAAAAAAAAAAUUCGGUGGAAAAAUGAUUUGCGACUUGUUUGUUUCGCCAUAAAUAAAUUUUCCGGAAAAAAUAAUUUUCCGUAUUUGAGGGAAAAUUUUCAUUUUCGUUUUCCGCACGUGAAAAUUUUCAUUUUCGUUUUCUGCGCGUGAAUGGCGGAAAACGAAAACACCGCUGCGGAGGACGCAAAAAAUGGGCUCAUGGGGGGGCUUUUUCAAGGGGUCUAGGAGGCUGAAGUGGCGAAAUUAUAUAAUAAUAUAUAUAUAUAUAUAUAUAUAUAUAUAUAGAGAGGAGGGCUAGAAUACUUUUACAAGUAAUCACAAAAUAAUACUUGUGUGUUUUAGCCAUUGAUCUAUUUUUGAUUACUAAUAGUCUUUGAUCAAACACUAUCACAUACACCUACCACCACCUACACACAUCUAUCUCAACUCACAUCUUAUCCUCCAGGGCUAAACAAACAAGUAUCCUUGGGUGAUACUUUUUACAAGUAUUCAGCUCACUAUAUUAUAUAUUUAUUAUAUAUAUAUAUAUAUAUACACUAGUAGAAUGUACGUGCAAAUGCACAUGAACAAUUAUUAUAAUUUAUUUCAAAUCAAUAAAAUUUUUACAAUAUAUAUAAAUUUACAAUAAAAUUAUAUAUUAUAUAAUUAAUAUAUUAUUUAUUUAUUAAAAAUAUUCUAAAUACCUACGGAUUCUUUUUUUUAUAUACAUCAAAUAUUUUUAUAUACUUUUUUAUUUUUGAUGAAUAAAUUUAAAUAUGUGCUUUUAAACUAAAAGUAUCAAAAUUUAAUUCAUAUUAUUUUAAAAUUUAAAAUUUAAUUUUGAUCCACUAUAAUAAAAAUUAAGUGUUAAUUCAAAUUUGAUUUAAAUUAAAUUUAAUUUCAUAAUUUAAACUCAAUUUUAAUUUUAAUGUAAAUAUAUAAUAGGAAUGCUAUUUUCUAAUAAAUUGAUCGUAACCGUUUAUUUUAUUUGAGGAUAAUUUUUAACAAAUUGAUUUAAUCGUGUAGUAGGAUUGAAUUUAUAGAUAGAUAGGAAUGCUAUUUUUUUAAUGGAGUUGAUCAAAACCGUUUUUAUUUAAUAUAUUUUUUAACAAAAUUAAUCAUACUAUUUGUAGAUUGAUCAUAAUCGUUCGUUUUUAUUUAAAAUUUUUAUAAAUUAAUAAUAACUAUUCGUAGGAAUAUAUUUUUAUUUUUUUUGUAUAUAAUAGAUAUUUAAUAGAUGAUAAUCGUUCAUUUUUAUUUGAGAUAUUUUAACAAAUUAAUCCUACACAUCUAAGGAAUAUUUAUUUUUAUUCUUUUUAGAUUCCGUUGCCAUUGUCGGAAUUCUUAUACGCUUAUAUAUAUAUAUAGUAUAUAAUAUAUAUAUAUUAUAUAGUAUAUAUAUAUAUAUAUAGUGUGAGGUACUAUCCUAUAGCAGGAGCCUUCCGUGCUUCUAGUUUGUUUUCGAUGUUGCGACUUUCGAAUCGUCGAUCGUGCGCUCCGUUAAACUUGAUCUAGGUAUUUGAAGUACUUAGAAAAUAAAUUUUAUAAUUUUUUGAUUCAUUGCUAGUGAUCGAAGGGGCUCAAAUGAGUAAUUUUAAUGGUUGGAUGUGAGCCGUUUGACAGUUUAACGGUGUAGAAAUAUCAAAUUCUGAAAUUUUAAUAAAAAAUUUUUAUGCUAUAUAAACAAGAUCAAUAUCUUUGAUCUAAAAUUUAACGCAUAUUAUCACGUUUUGUAGAUUUUUUUUUUCAGCCGUUGAUUUUGAGCCCUUCGUUCACUAGGCAAAUAAUAUCAAAAAAUUGCAUAAUUUAUUUUCUAGAUACUUCAAUACUAGAUCAAGUUUAACGAGCGAUCGACGAUUCGAAAGUCGCACAUCGAGAAACAAGUUGGAGCACAGAAGGUCUCGUGCUUCCGAUAGCAUAGUAGCCUUCAUAUAUAUAUAUAUAUAUAUAUAUAUAUAUAUAUUAUUAUAUAUAUAUAAUUAUAGUAUAUAUAUAUAUAUUAUUUUAUAUUGAAUUAUUUAAUAUAAUAUUUUAUUUAUAAAUUUAUAAUUAUUUAAUAAUAUUUUUAAAUAUAUAACUCUUUAAUUAUGUUUUAUAAAUAUUUAAAUAAAUUUAAUCUAUAUAUAUAUAGAGUGAGGGCUAGAAUACUUUUACAAGUAAUCACCCAAAUAAUACUUGUGUGUUUUAGCCAUUGAUCUACUUUUUGAUUACUAAUAGUCUUUGAUCAAAUAUCACUAUACACCGUACCACACUCACCAUCAUCUCAAGCUCACCUAUCUCUAUCGAGGGCUAAACAACGACAAGUAUACUUGGGUGAUACUUUUUACAAUAUUCUAGAUCUACUAUAUUAUAUAUAUUAUAUAUAUUAUAUAUAUAUAUACACACUAGUAGAAUGUACCGUGCAAAUGCACAUGAACAAUUAUUAUAAUUUUUUCAAACAAUAUAAAUUUUUACAUAUAUAUAUCCAAAUUUACAAUAAAAAUUAUAUUUAUAAAUUAAUAUAUUAUAUUUUAUUAAAAAUUCUUACAUAAUCUACGGAUUUCUUUUUUUUAUAUACAUCAAAUAUUUUUAUAUACUUUUUUAUUUUUGAUGAAUCAAUUUAAAUAUGUGUUUUAAACUAAAAGUAUCAAAAUUUAAUUCAUAUUUAUUUUAAAAUUUAAAUUAAUUUUGAUCCACUAUAUAAAAAAAUUAAGUGUUAAUUCAAAUUUGAUAUUAAAUUAUAAUUUAAUUCAUAAUUUAACUCAAAUUUUAAUUUUAAUGUAAAAUAGAUAAAUAGGAAUGCUAUUUUCUAAUAAUUGAUCGUAACCGUUUAUUUUAUUUGAGGAUAUUUUUUAACAAAUUGAUUAUAAUUGUAGUAGGAUUGAAUUUAUAGAUAGAUAGGAAUGCUAUUUUUUAAUGGAUUGAUCAUAACCGUUUUUAUUUAAUAUAUAUUUUUAAAUUAAUCAUAAACUAUUUGUAGAUUGAUCAUGAAUCGUUCGUUUUUAUUUAAAUAUUUUUAUAAAUUAAUCAUAACUAUUCGUAGGAAUUAUUUUCAUUUUUUUUGAUAUAAUAGAUAUUUAUAGUGGAUCAUAAUCGUUCAUUUUUAUUUGAGAUAUUUUAACAAAUUAAUCCUAACAUUCUAAGGAAUAUUUGUUUUUAUUCUUUUUACAUUCGUUGCCAUUGUCGGAAUUCUUAUACGCUUAUAUAAUAUAUAUAGUAUAUAUAUAUAUUAUAUAUAGUAUAUAUAUAUAUAUAUAGUGUGAGGUACUAUCCUAUGGAAGCAGGGAGCCUUCCGCUGUGCUUCUAGUUUGUUUUCGAUGUUGCGACUUUCGAAUCGUCGAUCGGCGCCGUUAAACUUGAUCUGAGUAUUUGAAGUACUUAGUAAAAUAAAUUUUAUAAUUUUUUGAUUCAUUGCUAGUAUCGAAGGGGCUCAAAUAUGAAUUUUUAAUGGUUGCAUGUGAGCCGUUUGCAAGUUUAACGGUGUAGAAAUAUACAAAUUACGUGAAAUUUUAAUAAAAAUUCUUUAUGCUAUAUAAACAAGAUCAAUAUCUUUGAUCUUAAAUUUUAACGCAUAUUAUCACGUUUUGUAGAUUUUUUUUUCAGCCGUUGAUUUUGAGCCCUUCUGUUCACUAGGCAAAUAAUAUCAAAAAAUUGCAUAAUUUAUUUUUAGAUACUUCAAUACUAGAUCAAGUUUAACGAGCGAUCGACGAUUCGAAAGUCGCAACAUCGAGAAACAAGUUGGAGCACGAAGGCUCCGUGCUUCCGAUAGACAUAGUAGCCUUACUAUAUAUAUAUAUAUAUAUAUAUAUAUAUAUAUAUAGUAUAUAUAUAUAUAUAUAUAUAUAUAAUAUAUUAUUUUUAUAUUGAAAUAUUUAUAUAAUAUUUUAUUUAUAAUUUAUAAUUAUUUAAUAAUAUUUUUAAAUAUAUAACUCUUUAAUUAUGUUAUUAUAAAUUUUAAAUAUAUUUAAUCUAUAUAAUAAAAAUUAUAACAAUAAUAUAUAUAGCAUAUUAAUUAUUAUAUAUUAAUAAUAUAUAUAAUAAAAAAAUAUAUUAAAUAAUUUUUUUAUCUAUUUUUUUUUUUCUUUUCAACCAAACAAUCAUCACGAAAAACUAUUUUUCUUUUCCUACAAAUCAAAUACUGCACAACGUAAAAUAUUUUUUCCAUUGAAAUUUUCUUUUAUAGUUUUACGUAAAAUCAAACACACCCUAAACAAAAAUAUUUUAUUUUUACCAAAAAUAAUUUUUCGAUUCGUUUUACGCCAGCACGCCCCCCUAAGUCAAAAUGCAGCAACUUAGCUUUCAAUUGCCUAUAAUUACUCCUGUAUCAUUGGUUGAUAUACAUUGAACCAAGUACUUCCACUUUUGAAGCCGAAGUGACUUUAAUUGGAAAAAAGGAAACUGAAAAAAAAAAAUGAAAAAAAAAAGCAACUUCAAAUACUAUCAUGUAAUUUCUUAUUUUCUCACUUUAAUAUUUUAUAAUUUAAAAUUUAUCACUUUAGUACUAUAUUUUUUUUUAUGUUAUUUUCUAUAUUCACUUUUUCGUUAAACCGGUGACAAACCUAAAAACACAAGAUAUUAAGAUAAGAAAUUUGAUAUGCUAUAAGAUACUAAAAUGAAUAUUCAAUAAAUCAUAGAUAGGUACCUAAAAUUUUUCUGUAUAAAAUUUAAUAGAGAGUCAAUACUGACGAAAGAGAAAAAUAAAAUCACGGAAUAUUAAAAUAAUAUAGUUUAAACUAUAUGGUACUAAAGUGAGAAAGCGUGAAACCACGGGAGUUGUAUUUGAAAUUUACCCAAAAAAAAAAACAGGUAUUGUUUGAAUAGUUCAAUCCAAAUAGUACAAUAAUAUAGUGGGACCAAGAAAUGUAAUAGCCAAAUCAAAUAUCCAUUUUAUUUGAUGGAUGGUUGAUCAAAUUGUCUCUUCAUGAGCAGGAUAUCCAUAGAAUUUGUUGAUAUUUAAAAAUACAUCCCUGCAAUGUUUAAAAGAUGUAUAUUAUUUACCCCUCAGAUAUUGAUAUAUUAUAAAUAGGAACAAUUGUUUAUAUACUCCUGAAAAGUUUUCAACGGUAAAAUAUUCACUUUGAUUGUUCAACUCCGUCGCAAAAUUAAUUACGAAAAAAAGAUAAAUAAAUAAUAAAAUAAUAAUAAGAUAUUCAAGAUGGGUAACUUCGGUUUUAUGUCUUUACUUUCUAUCAAACAAACAAUAAAACUGAAAGACUUUCGAUUCCACGGCUAUAAUCGAUUCCACGGCUAUAAAGACAACAGGAAAAGAGAAAUAGUUUUUAUCUAAACUUUAUUUCAUCCAAAAAUUUAAUUCCACCUAAACUUCACUUUCGGUGAAACAAACAGAUCUACGUAUACAUACAUCCAUACCUUAUUCAUCCAUGCUAUCCUUCCCUCACCAUAUCAACUUUUUUUUCUUUUAACUUAAAACCUAUUUGAAUUUUUGUGAACUCUAAAAUGCUUGGAUGUAAGAUUCGUAUUUAUAUAUAGGUGUGCAUGUAGUAUUUUUUUUGAAUAAACUUCAAAUACCACCUCUGUCGUUUCGCAUUUUUUCACUUUAGUACUCUGCGUUUUAGUAUAUUAAUUUAGUACCAUGUGGUUUCAUUUUUUUUCUUUUCGUUAGCCCCUUCGUUAACUUUUCGUUAAAUCAUAUACAAAAAAAUUUCAGGUACCCCACCUAUAGGUUAUCAAAUAUUCACUUUAAUGCUUUUUAGUUUUAACUGUGUCAUUGAUUUAACGAAAAAAAAUAGUGGAGGGGAUAACGAAAAAAAAAAAAAAAAAUCUCAGGGUACAGAAGUGAUACACUUUAAACCACAAGGUACUAAAUUGAGAAAGUGCGAAACCACGAGAGUUGGUAUUUGAAAUUUUUCCUUUUUUAAAAAGAUAUAAAAUUG
rnacentral:lncRNA from 1 species